rnacentral:lncRNA from 1 species
GGGGAAAUAGGUCUAGGCUAAUUUGGGGGAACAACUCUAUAUCUUCAACUGAAAUAAUAUGACCCAGAAAAGCUACUGAUCUUAGCCAUAAUUCACAUUUACUAAAUUUGAAGAAUAACUAGUUAUCUCUAAGAGUUUGCAAGACAAUUCUAAGAUGAUCUGCAUGGUCGUUCUCAGUAAGUGAGUUCAUAAGGUGUCAUCUAUGAAAAUAACAACAAAUAUAUUGAGAUAUUGCUUGAACACUCGAUUCAUGUGGUCUAUAAAGGCUACUGGGGAAUUGGUUAGCCCAAAAUACAUGACUAGAAACUCAAAGUGACCAUAGCAGGUUCAGAAAAUUGUCUUUGGGAUAUCACAUUCCCUUACUUUAAGCUAGUGAUAGCUGGAUCUAAGGUCUAUCUGGGAGAAAUAACUCGCACCUUACAACUGAUAAAAUAGGACAUCAAUUCUUGAAAGAAGAUACGUAUUUUUGACUGUGACCUUAUUAAGCUGAUGAUAGACAAUGCACAUAUGCAAAGGUCUAUCUUUCUUUCGCAUGAAUAAAAUAGGUGUGCCCCAAGGAGAAACAGUGGGCCUUAUGAAACCUUUGUCUAAAAGAUCUUUGAGUUGCUCCUUUAACUCCUUAAGCUCUGCAGGUGCCAUAUGAUAAGGUGGGAUAGAAAUAGGAUGAGUGUCAAGAAGAAGGUCAAUCCCAAAUUUUAUCUCUCUAUUGGGAGGUACCCCUGGGAGAUCUUCUGAAAAAACAUCAGGAAACUCAUUAACAAUGUUGACUGCCUGAAUAGUUGGAGCCUCGGACUUAGUGUCUUUAACUUUAACUAGGUGAUAGAUGCAACCUUUGGAUAUUAGAUUUUUGGCUUUGAGAUAGGAAAUAAAAUGCUCUUGGGAGAUACCAAACUCCCGGACCACUCAAAAAUUGGUUCAUCAGGAAACUGAAACUUGACCAUACGGGUAUGAGAGUCCAUAGAUGCAUAGCAAGAAUGAAGCCAAUUCAUACCCAGAAUAAGUUCAAAAUCCACCAUGUUUAACUCUAUCAAAUCAUCAAAUGUGACUCUAUGAAGAACAGUAACAGGAUAAUUUUUGUACACUUGCUUAGCAACCACUGACCCCCUACUAGUGUAGAAACUAGGAAAGGCUCAAGGAUCUUUUUGAGACUCAUUUCAAAAUUCACAGUGACUAAUGGGGUCACAUAAGAGAAACUUUACCCAGGGUCCAACAACACAUAAAAUUUGAAGAAACAUACAUGGAGCAUACCAGUAACAAUGUCGGGAGAGUCCUCCUGCUCCUGAUGUGAUGGUAAGGCAUAGAAUCAAUUCUAGCACUGACCGCCAGUAGUGUUAGAUGAAGUACCCUAAACAGGGGUAGGAAGAGGUACAGGAACUGGUGUACUAUUAGUUUGUGUCUGAGGUCGGGCAUCUCUGUUCCCCUACCUAGCAUACGAGAAAUCUCUAAGUCUGUGGCCCAGCUUACCAUAUCUAAAACAACCCCUCAGAUCUUCUAAACACUCACCAGGAUAAUCUCUACCACACUUAGCACAAGAAGGAUAGCGGGGUAUGUUACUUACACUGUUCUGCAACCUAGACAUAGAAGACUUAUUCCCUUUCUUCUUCCUGCCUCUAGGCGUGGGAGCACUAGCUGUUGAAGGCGCUGGCAUAGAAGAACGACUUUGGAACUGUAGGAGGUUCCUUUCAUAGGACCUAGCCUGACUAUACUUAUGCUGCUCGAAUCUAGUCCUCUUGUUACCCCUCACUCUAUCUCUCUUCCUUAUCUUAUAUGCCUUUAUCUAUUGUGCAUGCAUCAUCAACCUAGCCAGAUCCAUAUCCCUAUUCAGCAUCGCCGUCCUACACACUUUCAGUAACAAACCAGAAACACCUGUUACAAACUUGCUCAUACUAGCUCAGGUGUCAGAAAUUAAAUCAGGAGCAUACUUGGCCAACUGGUUGAACUUCAAGCAGUACUCCUUAAUAGUCAUGGAGCCCUACCUUAAGCUCAUAAACUCCUCAAUAUUUGCUUUCCUUAUCUCAAGAGAAAAGAACUUAUCCAAGAAUACAUCUUGGAACACCUACCAAGUCAUAGUAGUAACACCCUUACCUCUACCCUUCUUCCAUGCUACAACCCAAUCAUAAGCAAUAACCUUCAACUUGUAAGAUGCCAGCUCAACCCUUUUUUCCUCAGAAACAUGCAUCACUUAUGUGAUCUUUCUCACCUCCUCAAGGUAUAACUAUGGGUCCUCACCUUCUUAGACCCAUAAAACUCUGGUGGAUUCAUCCGCAUACAAUCAUGAAUCCUAGCAACAGCUAAAUCACCUCCUUAUUGAUUCACAACUAUGGCUUGGUUAUUGGCUUGAACAUUAGUGGUGACUGCUUGGGCAAACGCCUGAAAGGCUACUCGAAACUCAACAUAAGACACUAUCUCAUUCAAGGGAUCAAUGGGCUGGGGUUGCUCAUUACCGUUUUGGUGGGCAUUCGCUCUUCGGGGAGGAAUUUUCUAAAAUAAGAGAGCAAGAAUUAUUAGAUGACAGGGACAACUGUAGGCACGAUAAAAUCUGAAAUAAAGAAAUAACUUUUUCCUAAAACAUUUUGUAGCUUCUUUCUCAUAAAUGUUAUGCGCUACACACCGAUGAUCAAGACUCUACUCAACGCAGCUUGUCAGACUCCCUAUGACUCCUUAAACCUUAGGCUUUGAUAACAAGUUUGUAAUGACCCAAAAUUACCUUUUGGGAGGUCAUACAGUGCUUAAGGAUAUCUGUAGCCCUAAGCUAACCCUUUGAGCCUAUUACUACAUAUAAUAACUCAAUUUGAGAUAAAAUAAACAAAACAUUGGUACUGUCAUAUCAAAUGAUUGGAAAUACGAAGAAAAUACUCGAUCUAAACUACCACAAAACUAGAAAUCUCAACAUACUAACAAUCUAAUAACUAGUCUGACAAAGCCUCUCCUACUCCAUGAACUAGAGAGCGAUUGGGACAGGUUCCGAACUGACUCAAACUGAACUAAAAGUAAUAAUAUAUCUGCUAAGACUAUGAAAUGUCUGAAAAUACGUCCUCAAGCCAUGAGGACUCACCACUAUGGAGAUGUAUACAAAGGAACUUGGAAAUCACUGAUGAGGAUGGGACUAAGAACCUGAACCUACAUUAUAAGACAAUGUAGCACAUAGACAUAUAUGUGGAUCAACACUUAGGAAUGUACUGAAUAUAUGGGUGUGUAUGAAUUUAUAAAAAACAAUAUCCAUACUCUUUAAUCAAAUCAUGCAUGCAAUUAGGAAUGACUCACAUAACUUGAAUAAGUCUGAAAUGUAAAGCUCAUAAAUCAUGUAUAAUGAAGCAUGUAACACAAAUCUCAUGAGUCAUUAUAAUUUAGCUUUAAAAUAUGAACUCUUCUCUUAUUCUCAUUACUCGAAGACUAAAGAAAGCUUUAAACAAUACUUUCAAACUCAUGGAUAUAUCUCAUGGAGAGUAAAACUUCUUUGAUGCUCGAGAAUUUAGAACUCUCUUAAACUCAAGACACUUGAAACUUAGAAUUUUAUGACUCUUACUAGUAGAGAAAACUACUUUUUUCUUAGGAAAAUUUUACUUCAAGAAACUAUUUUGAAAAUCUUCCUAUUAGGAAAAAUUACUUAUCUCAAAGCUUUAGGUAAAAUAUUCUAUCUCAAGGGAAAAUACUUUAGGGAGGUUCUCUUAACCGACAUAAACAAUGCAAGCUACAUGGAUUCCAACAUCUUGUCAUCCUAAGGAAGAAACCUCACGUUGAAGAGAGGCGUCAUACUCUUUCUAAGGAGUAUAACUCAACUCAGUGAUCACUUAUCUCGGCCUUGGGCCCAUAAAUCUCAAUCCUAUGGUGGCACAUAGUUCUGGGAUUUGAAACUGUAGUAACUUACCCAACUCGAUACUAAAUACUACUCCCUUUAGUUAGCUAUGCUCAUCUCAUGGAAAUCCACUUUAAAAAUAAUCUUGUUGUUCAUAAAGAACCCAACUAUAAAAUCUGUAAUCUCAGGUAAUAAAGUGGAUUUCAAAGAUACUAUGAGCAUUAAGGUCUCAACUUUUUCAAUAAUCUAAAAGUACUCAAAUCAUGGGUGCUUAUAGCACAAAAUUUCAUGAAAUUACAAAUCUCAAGUUGGGUUUAAUGACCCAUAAUCAAAUCUCAAGUUAAGACUCAUCAAAAUGCAUACUAGAUAUCAUAAGGACUCAUAAAUCAUAUAAAAAUAUGGAAUUUACAGCAAUUUGUCUCAAAAUCUCAACGUACUCAUAUACUUCAAUUUCAAGAGCUUUGAAACCAUUAAAUUCUCAAGGAAUAACAAUAUCAGGUAUAAACCCAGCUUCAAUUUCUUAAGAAAACGUGUAAAAUUAAUCUAUUUGACUUUCAAUUCUUAGGAAACAUCAAAAGCUUACAACCAAUAACAAAUGGUGAAAAAUCCUAAUUCAAUUUCAUGUAAAAUCUCAUAAAUUGCAGAAAACUUAUAGUUUAAAAUAAUUUUUUGGGCACAAGGGUGAAAUGAUUACUCUUGUUCAAAACCCCACAUACCUUAGAUUGUGAAACUAGAUGAACAAGAUUGCUUGAAACUCUUCUUCAUACUCUUGAAAGAGGGUUCUUGAAGUUUUUUACUUGGGAAACUUGAAUCUCAACUCAAUUUGUAUAAUCUACGGUAAGUUCUUGAAUUUCUUGGAGAAGGGUUUUGGAUUUGCUCUUGAGGAAGAAACCCUAGCUCUUGGAUGUUUUGGGAAAUAAUGAGGCUAUCUGCUUCGUUUUGAAUAUGUCAGGGUAUUAAAUGGGUAAAGACCCAAACGAUCCUUUUAAAAAUGACUUAAAAAUACUGAACGGGAUUAGCGACGGUCGGAGUGACAGUCCGUUGCUAGUCUGAUGGUCUGUCGGAUCGUCCAUCGCACGUUGGUUAGAAAAAGGUCACAUUGCCUUAGUUACAACGGUCCUCCGCUAGCUUGACAGUCUGUUGUCUAGGCCAUCAUACUUGGGCCAGAAGAGGGAGUCACUACCUUGGUUGUGACGGUUCGGGCGAUGGUCCAUCGCAAACUAGAUGGCCCGUCAACCUGUCCGUUGUACCUGCGUGGUUCCGACAACUCUCAGUAAAAUGUCCAUAACUUCUGACCCUGAUACUAAAUUUGUAAAAAAUUGGUAUCGUUGUUAAGCUAAUUCAAUUAUCUACAUGACAAAAAGUCGAUAUUAGGGAAAUUCUACACGGUUUAAAAUAUUUCUCACUUGGGAAGUCAGCCCUUACUCUUUUUAAAGAUGAAACUCAACUUAAAGAAAAUCUGGGGUAUUACAAUAUUUCUCACUCUAAGGCAUAAAAUCAACUGACUCUUAAAAGUUGUAGUACUACCCCUCUAUUCAAGGACUAGUUUAUUUGGAAAUUAAAAACAAACAAUUCUGUUUCAAUAAUCAAAUGAGGAACAAUAUAAAUGGGGCCAAUUCAUGCCGAGAAUGACGUUAAAAUCUAUCAUCACUAAUUCUACUAAGUUUUCUGAAAUGACUUUCGAGAUAUCAUAAUCAAAAAGUUCCUGUAUACCCGUCGGGCUAUAUUAGACUGACCCACUAGGGUAGAGGCUGAGAAUGGUUUUGUUAUGACUUAUGGCUUGAUCUUAAAGUUUACUGCUAUGUAAAGAGUUAUAAAUAAUAGAGAAGCUCCUAGAUUUAAUAUGGCAUAAACAUAUAAGUGGAAGAUCUAUAACGUACCAGUAACCAUAUCAGGAGAACUUUCUUGAUCUUGUCAAGACUGAAGUGCAUAGAGCCUAUUUGGGCGUUGCCCUCUGGUGGAACUAGAAGUUGCACCCUAUUGAUUCGGGCAACUGGACUGAGCUGAUGAAUAAUUGUAUUAACCCUAAGAACCUAACUGAGGAUAAUAUCUAAUUCUAUGGCUUGGUUUGCCACACUUGAAACAAAUAUCACUGCCAGCUCUGCAGACACCCUGAUGGUUUCUACCACACUUCUAGCAAAGAGGAUUCGUUCGAGCACUACUGACGCCCUAUCUUUGUUACCAUUUCUGAAAUUAGGUACUGGAGCACUAGCUGAGGACAGAGCUAGAACCAAAGAUUUUGGAUGAAACUAGGAACGGUUACCGCCCUCUAACUUAGGCUGAGUGAAAUUGAAGCUAUCUAUUCUAUCUAUCUUAUUCUCCCUAUCUCUCCUUAUUCUUAUCCUCUUCUAUCUACUGAUCAUAGACCAUGAGCCUAGAUAUGUCCAUCUUCUUAAUUAGCAUUGUUGUUCUGUACUCCUUAAUAAUACUUUCUAACACUCCUGACACAAACUUGCUCAUUCUGGACCUACUGUCUGCUACUACAUGGGGAGCAUACCUAGAUAACUGAGUAAACUUGAGGGAGUACUCUUUCACACUCAUACUUCCUUGCUUGAGAUUGAUGAACUCUAACACCUUGGCUUCUCUGAGCUCUAAGGGAAAGAAUCUAUCUAUAAAAACAGUAGUAAAUUCUUCCCAUUCUAUGGUCUCUGCAUCUGUACCCCUGUCUACCGUCCACUACUUAAACCAUGUAUGAGCUACAUCUUAUAGCUGGUAGAAAGCUAGCUCAACACUCUCACUAGAUAUCACCCCCAUGAUAUCUGUAACUUUCUGAACCUAAUCGACGAACUUUUAUGGAUUCUCUUCUGACUUAGAUCCUGAUAAUAAGGGAGGAUUCAUUCGGGUGAUGUCCCAAAUUAUGACUGUAGCACUAUUGUCCACUGUUUUUUCAUGAACAAUAGUUUCUUGGUCAUUCUGAGCUACUACAGAAUUAUCUAGAGAUGUAAACGUAGCUCUGAAUUAUAUCUCUGAAUUAUGUAUGGGAGACAUGCUUGUCCAGAAGAUCUGUCUGAACGGGCUGAGGUGCUGACUGGUUUCCUGUUCUUCUUCGUUGUUCUUUUUCAAAGGGAUAUUCUAUAAAUAGAAGGAAUAAAUGGAUUAGACUAAGAGUUUUACUUGAGCUCAUACUCACUGACAUGACAUGAAUACUGAAAGAAGGGAAAAUUUUCCUAAAAACAUCUCAUAGACUCCUGUCCGUAAGUGUGGCGUGCUACACACCCAUGACCAAGACUCUACUUAAUACGGCUUUUAGACUCCAUAGGACUCUUUUGAACCUUAGGCUUUGAUAUCAAGUUUGUAACGCCCCAAGUAUGUACCCCAGAUGUUACACGAUGCUUGCGAGAAGCCAUAAUGUUCAAAAUUUGAAAUACAGAUAAAGAAUAACAAUUGUAAUAUCAUCUAAAAACUAAAAUACUAUCUGAACUAGUCUAGUUUGAAAAUUCUCUAACUGAACUGUCUGAAAGCAGAGUUGAUGGAAUAAGCCCCCAACUAACUCCAACUACUAAAAUACGAAAAUAAAAUGUAUCCUCGAUAGAUGAGGACCGACUACCAAAUCUGACACUACUGGCUAAAUUUGAAUCUGUCUAUGGGCGGUUAGGAACCUGAGCGUCCGAACCUACGAUAUGAGACGUCAUAGCACAAAGAGAAAAGUAUGCAUCAGUACGUAGAAUAUACUGGUAUACUAGAUGAGGUAAGGUUGAAUGCAAGGGUUCAUAUGCAUGAACAGUAACUGACUAAAUGAUAUAGAAUAAUUGAUUAUGAGUACAUAAAAAUCUAAAACUACUGUAAAUACUGAGCAUGCAAUAACGUUCAUAUGCAUGUACACUGUAUCUAAGCUUUUACUAAAGCUGAGUACUAAGUUCUGAUAACUGAGUAACUGAUAUCUGAGAUUACUGAUAACUAAAUUACUAAUAACUAGGUGACUGUGUCUGACAGUCCUAAUUUUGUAGAACUGAACUGAGUUCUAUACUGAGACUGAGUACUAAGACAAAAACUGUGGGAAGUAAUCAUCUAACCAACAUGCCCAAAUAAGAUAACUGAGGUCCAACCUGUAACCCCAAAUGGAAUGGUAUCAUUAUCGUGCCACGGGAAAAGUCAUGCUGAAGAGUUACCUUAUCUGGCAGGUACACUAAUGAGAACGGUGGAACCUUCAACUAUCAGGUUAAAACACGUUAUCAGCCCUCAACUUGCAGGUUGAUGUCUCAACCUACGCUGGCUACACAGUUCUAGAAUGCAAGGACUACUUCUAAGGAUCACACCCUCUACUGGCAGGUGAGCCCCUAUCCCUGGGUUCACUCGGUGCUGAAUCCUACUCCCAACUGAAUAGACACUGAACUGAUUAUACUGAGCUGAGCUAGACUGAUACUAAAUUUCAUGGAGUUCUAUAAAUGAUUGAGUUUAUCGAGUUCUAUGACUGACUGAGAGUGUUACUGAUCGUGACACUACUAAGACUAUUUUGUAACUACUGGAGCUCUAAGUAAACAACUAGAUUGUCGGGUAUUAGAUACCCCCAGGACUCGAUAGCAUGAAAAGUAAAGCAUAGCAUGAUCUUGAAAAGUAUAACAAUGUACACUUGUUCAUAAUUCAUUCAUAGAGACAUUUUAUCAAACACUUGUAGGGCAUAAGCUUGUACAUGAUUGGAACCACAUAAUGACAUGUCAUGAUUCGACUAUUUACUUCACAUAGGCAUUUUAGCAAACACUUGGAGAGCAUGGACUAUUUCAUAUGAUAAUGGUUAACAUAUGAACAUCAUGAAUACAAUACUCAAUUGCAAAUUCGAGGGUUUAGAAUGCAAUUCAUAUAACUCCCUAUAAAUAUUAGUCUAAUUUCAUGAAUCUUAUAAUAAUCAUGGAUUUAAAACUCAAUUAAUAUCAUGAACGUGCAUACAAUCAAUUUCAAGCAUGGAAUUCAUAAUUCUAUAAACUUGUAGUUUUUAAAAUGAUUUCCUGGACUUCAUGGGUGAAAGAAACCCAUGAAUGAACAUCUGACAUACCUGGAUAUUUUAAUUCUUGAAGUUCUUGAUGAUUUUCUUGAGGAUUGCUCUUGAUUGCUUGAAGAUUAGGGUUUGCUAAUUGAGAGAGAGCUUGUUAAUUUUGGAAAAAAGUUAAUAAAGAAUGAGUUUAAAACGUUUUUAGGGACUAUAUCCCAUAUCUGGGUGUACUAAAAUCAUGGAAAAAGACUUUUUUAACCCUGGAUGAAACUUUUAAUUUUUGUCAAAAUUUUUUAACCUGGGCCCUUGGCGCGACGCGGUGAUAUCGUGUCGUGUCACUGGAAAAUGACAAUUGAGAACUAGGUUGAUGGAACGACAUGGUGAAAUCGCGUAGCUUCACUAGAAAAAGGAUAAUUGUAAGAAAAAGCCUUGGCGCGAUGCACCAUGAUCGCGGAGGGUCACUGUAUUUGACAAUUGUCAUUUGGUCUGGCUUUGCUACACAUUGUUUGCUAAUUUAGCAUACUGUUUUAUAAAGUAUGCUAUAACUUCUCACCCGAGUGUCAAAGUUGGACGAAUUUUAUAUCGUUGGAAAGCUGACUGAAUUUCCUAGCAAUGAUAAGCUCUUAACUGAAAAAUAUUGAGUAUUUAAAAAAAAAAAUUAUAUAGGAUAACUCAUAUACUGAGAGUUAAAUUAAGCUAGGAAAAUAUGGGGUAUUUCAGAGGUCUGGCUUGUAAACUACCCCUUAAAAACCUAUUACUUAAUAAUGAUUUGUUAUAUUCAAUAUGACGGAGUAGAGGUAGGCUCUUGCUUAAUAUUUAAAGCGGAUCAAGAUGCUCUUGCUCAUUCUUUCAUUGUUGUUAGAUUGCGGUUACUACAAUGGUCACAAGCUCUCACCUGAUGCAUCGGAACACACAACAAUAAACCAUAUGUAUGUGUGUGUAUGUGUAUAUAUAUAGAGAGAGGGGGGGAGGGGAGGGGAGAGAAAGAAAACUUUUUACUAAAAAUAUUUUAGAACUUUGAAUUAAACAAGUCAAAUCAUCAUAUUAAUAAAUAAAAUUUUACAACAACAUCCAAAAUAGUGUAUUGCAAACAAAUGACUUACAUCUUAUUAACUAGAAUUGAACGUACUUUUGUAAAUUAUAAUAUUACUAUAUAAAGUUCAAGGUUUUAUGUCUUUUAAAAUACUAAUAUAAAAAUAAGUAGUAUGUAAAAAUAAAAGAUAUAACUCUAAAUUAUUAUUAUUGAUUUUGAGUGUAGUAAAGUGUGUUGAAGGGGAUCAGAUAAGGUACAAAUGAUUCAAUUUUAUUUUCUUGAAAAAACUUUUUGGGAGAAAUGUUUUAUGGGAGCAGAAACGUAAGUUUUUUAGCAAAGGUUUAUGUGAGAUAUGACGGAGAGAGAGUACAAGGAUUUGUAAAUAUAAGAAGGUUUGAUUGGUCAUUAGGAAUUUGACUGGUUGGUUGGUAUAGUUUUAUACUAUUAUGCGACUUAUGUAAUUGUUUUAUUAGCAGAGAAUGUGGUAUGUACAAGGCAUAAUAAUUAUAAAUUUGUUUAGGAUAUGUAUAAUUUCAUUUCACCGGAAGAAUAUAACAUUCAUCUUCAUUUUUUUCUCUUAACUUUCAAAAUGGCGGUAUCUAUUAUUAUGAUUCGACUUAGUGGGUAAUAUUAUAAUCACUGUUUUUUUCUUCACUAUAAUUAAACAUGUGUCUCAAUAUCAUCCUUUUCUAUUGAUUUUAUUUUGUUAAGGUUUAUGACAAUUUCAUUACUUGAAUAUGCUUAUUGGACUCAAACAGUUAUUUAGAAUAAUGAAAGAUUAAUUAGUACCUAUUAGUUAAUCUUGAGUUAUAAUUAUAAAUAACUUUAUUUGAUGCGAUUAUUAUGAACCAAUAAUAGCAUAAACACUAACAUAUUACUAUAUUUUAUCUUUUUAUGUUAUUUUUCUCUUUUUAUUUUUUGAUAAUUUUAUCUUGACAGGAUAAAAAACACAGAGAGACGAUAUGAACUUUCUCUACGAUGGACAAAGUUUUUAUGUCUCACAAAUUGAUUUUAACUGAGCCAAUAUUAAUGUUUUACAAUUUUUAGAAAAGGUAUUAUAGAUAAAUAUAUAGGUUCAAGUUUCUUUACUUAUAUUACUAUUUUUUUAAAUUUCAGAAAAAAAUUAAGUAUCAAUUGGUUGUAAAUAAAUAAAUUUAGAUGUAGAAGAAAUUUAAUAGGAAAAAGCUAAGUUGAUUUUGUGAGAUGAUAAAACUUUUUUCUUUAUUGACGAAUAUAAUUGUUAAAUUCUAUAUUUUGGAAGAACGUUAUUUUUUAUAUUUUAAUUUUUCUAGUGACCAUCUUAAUAUAAUUAAUAAAAAAUAAAUUUGGCUAAUCAUUGAAUUUGCAUAUGAGCGGAUGGUAGUUUACUCUAACUUAUGUGCAUUUAAAAAAUCAUAUUGUGAAUAUGAUCAAGAAGUAAGCUUUUAGAAAAUGUGUCAAAAACAAAAAUAUUAAACAAUGAAAAUAAAAUGCAGGUAAUAUAAAGAUAUUUAUACUUUGAGUUAAUUUUUAAAAUAAUUAAUAUAUAAACAAAUUAAAGUUAAAUGUAUAACUCUGUGACAGUUACUUAAUUUUAAGUAAAUUAAAGGUAAAAUAAUUCCACCCAUAAAAAUUCUGAUAUAAUUUUGAGCAAUAUGUUAAAUAAAAUAAUAUAGAUAAUAUUAAAUGAGUAGAAAAAAAUUAGAUCUAUUUAAGAAACUUACAAGAUAUUCUGACACACAUUUCAUUUAUUCAUUAAAUUCAUGAAAAUUUCUAAUUAAGUACAUUGAAUUAAGAUAUAAGAUGAUAAUAAAAUAUUUAUUAAAAUAAUACGAACUAAGCAUUUAAAUAAGUCAUAUUAUAAGUUUUCGCAGUAUUUUUCAUCGCAUGGGUAUGAAUAUUAAUUGUUUUAUGUAGUGAAAAUAAUAUAAGGAUGUCAUAUAAAGAAUAUAACUUAUAUAUAUGAUUUUUUGGUCUAACUAUUUAGUUCAAAGCAAGUUAAGCGAUAUAUAUUUAUGUAAAUUUAAGUGAUAAUAAAUAAUAUCAGAAUUAUAUAACCCAAGGGGAGACAGAAGAGCGGGUAUAUAUUUCUUUUUUAGAAAAAAAAAAUUGAAGGGGUUAGGGGUGGGGGUAGAGGUGGGGCUAGGUUGGUUGGAGGAAGGGGGAGAAAAAAAUAUUGUUUUAUUUCGCAUUGUAUUGAGAAAUAAUAUGCAAAUUGUAGUUUUUUCAAUGGUAAUAUGAGUUAACAUGUUUAAACAAUACAUUUUCAUAUGAAAUAAUUAUAAAUAAUAUUUUAAUAUUAUUCGUGCAUCGCACGAGUACAUAUACUGACAGAUAAUAUUAUUACAUUGACCCACAUAAAUAUUUGGAGUCUAUAGAGAAGGUCAUUUUUCUCAUUUAAAACAAACAACAAAAUAUUCUCAAAAAAAAAUUAACUAACCAAACAUGAAGUUAUUUUCCUUAAUGCUAAACACUAAAUCGUCCAUUGAACGAGAACUCUAUUAUACGAAUUUGAGAGAACUUAACGACUUUACUUUCAAUCCUCUAUAUAUAUAUUGAUAAAUUCACUAAAUAAAUAUCUUUAAUAAGUUUUCAAAUAACAUAAAUGGGUUAGAAAUUAAAUGACAAGCAAGGAAUCGCUAAAAGGCGUCUUUAAAUUUUAAAAUUCAUCUCUAAAGACGUUGUAUAUACCAAAAGUGUGCCCCACCCCACGUUCUUUUGCUUGUCUAAGAACCUAUAGCUGGACAUCUUCAUUGUUGAAAGUGAUUGAAAUGGAAUCCGUGAACACAUUAUUAUUGCAGUAUUGAUCAUUUUAACAAAGAAAACAAAAAAAUUGAACAGGAAGGAUGGCAAAAAGAAAAGCCAUACUAAAGCACAUAAUUUUUUAUGCGCAAACAUAUAGUGGACCAAUUUAAUUAAUCUUGGGUUGGAUUAGUUUCGCAUAUGAUCACUCAAACUUUUAUUUUAUUGUAUUAAGGAUAAAAGAUUAUUUUUAUAAUUAAAAAUAUCACAAAAAGUUAGCACUAAACUAUUUUUUGUAACAAAACAAUCAGUCUAAUAUAUCUAAGUAUCACAAAUAGUCAAUAAGCAAUUCAUUUGUAACCAAAACGUCAUUCAACUUGUUCAAUUACGUACUUAUAAAAUUAUUUUUUUAAUCUUCUUUAAUGACUUUCAGUAAUACAUAAGCAAAGUUAAGUGAUUUUCUUGGUACUUCGAUAAACUCGAUUAAUGUUUUCAAUACAAGUAAUAGUUUAGUGACUUUGGUACGAUACUAUGAAAGUUCAGCGAAUAUUCAUGAACAAACUAAUUCAGUUACUCGUGAAAGCAGCCACUAAUACUUCUAUUAGGGUAAAUCAACUGCGAGCCCAGGAUUUAGGGGUGUUCGAUCUCGGGGAGGUUGAACACAUAUUGACAUCCAAAACUAUUUUGGUUUUCAGGAUAUUUUUAAAAUUUUAUACCAAUUUUCGUAUAUUAUUUAUAUAAUUAUACCUAAUCUGCAUCGAAUUUAACGGGUGACGAAACAACACAAAAUAGAAUAUAGGUCCGUCCUGAGGUAGACUGUGCAUACAUCACACCCCUUUGGUGCGAUUUUUUUUUCCUAAUAAUGUCUUAAUGUGGAAUGCUUUGUAAACCAGACUACCUAAUCCCAAGUACUAGUAGUUCUACUUCUUUAAGUCGGGUAGAAGGGGUGAGGAGAAGAGAGAGAGAAAGAAUGAAGUUCUUGUUCCAAUGUCCAUGCUGUUCUUGUUUCUGUUUCAUGAAGCCCCAAAAGGGCAAACCAAAAGCAAAAGUGGAAGAAGCAAAACCAAAAGCCAAAGUGGAAGAAGCAAAACCUAAAGAUAAGAAGGUGGAAGAAGCAAAACCAAAAGAGAAAGAAGAAAGCACGCCAGAAUGAAAGCAUAGAGGACAUGGGAUGAUGAUGCAGUUAUACUGUUCUGAUGCAAGUAAUAUUGUUCUUCAUUUACUUAAUUUACUUCUAGUCAUAAUUUAUGGUGUGCAGUCUUUUAACUCUUUUGAAAAAAGCACCUCCUAAAUAUUGUAAUCGUAUGACAAAAUAUUUGCACUUUAUUCUCUCUGAAAUGCAAACCUAGUCUUCAUUAUUAUGUAUGUUUAGAUCCUUUGUCGCACUCAUGUUGGAUUCUCAAAAAAUACAUACUUUUUAAAAGAUACAAUGUAGAAAUUUUGAAGUAUAUGAGAAACAUAACUUGUUAAUAGUUAGAUUUCUCUUAACUAAAUUCCUCAAAUGAUUAUCAAAUUUAGAGUUUUUUUUCCCUUUAAAGGUCAAACAAAAAAUUAUUUUUUGUUAGUGUAAAGUCACUCGAAAUGAAGAUAGAAUCUCAAAAAAUAACUAUAGAUAGAAAAAACACAUAAGCAACUUUUUUAUACUAUACGAAUCCAAGCGAUAAAAGGCUAAAGUGAAUCCUCAACAACAAUUUCAAUUUUAAGAAAGAUGACAUGAUGAUUGACUACGGGGACAGGGCAUAUCUCAUUCAGAGUGUGUUUUAUUGAAAAUUUGGUACUUUAAAUUUCCGUUUUGUCAGUAGAUUGCAGAUACACAAUGGCAUCUGCACUAAACAUACAUCUUGAACAAGUAAUAUAUUCAAGUCUUUUAUUUUUUUAUUUUAAAUAAAGGCUGUUAAUUAAUCAAGAUCAGAAGACACAUAAUCCUGAUCACUUGAUCUAUUAAUUAAGACAAAAUUUAUUGCGACUUAGUAAGCUUCAUUUGUAUAUGAAUAUAAAAUCACUACUUGAAACUACAAAUUUGGGUAAGGGUUGAUUUGAAGUUGAAAUUAUGUUUGGAUAUAUAAUUUAACUUUCAAAAAUUACUAUUUUUUCUUAUAAAUUUGAAAAAAAAUUCUCAGAAAUUGUGAAAUCUAUGAAUUUUUUUUCAAACUCCUUUAUAAUCUUAUAAAAGAAGCAAAUGAUAAGUCAUAAAUCCAAGGUAUUGGAAUAUCCUAAGGCAACACAUUAGUAUUUAACAUAGAUUUCAUGUCCCUUUUAUAAAAAUUUGCUUGUAAAUACGUGUUGUUAUAAAUGUUGAAAUGCAUAUAACUUCAGAAAGAUCCACUAAUUCAAUAAAUUAACAAUAGUACUCUUAGGUGUCGUUUGGUUUGAAAAUGGUUAUCCCGCGAUAAUUAAUACCGGAAUUAGUUAUCCCGGGAUUACCCGGGAUAACUUAUUGUUAAAAUUGAUCUUGGGCCUAACUCACACCUCAAAAGCUAGCUCAUGAGGAGGAGAAUUGCCCAAGCCUUAUAAAGAGAUCACCCAUCUCAUUAACCACCAAUGUGAGACUUUCUUUUCAAUCUUUUUAACAACCCACCUCACGCCCAGACCUCAACUGGCCGUUGACAAUACCAUGUUAAAAUUGGGCUUGAGCCUAACUCACACCUCAAAAGUUAGCUCAUGAGGAGGAGGGCCCCCAAAUUGAGAUGUCGGGGAGAUUGUCCACGCCCAGUUGAGGUCUGGGCCCCAGUUAAGGUGUGGGCGUGAGGUGGGUUGUUAAAAAAAUUGAAAAGAAAGUCCCAAAUUGAUGGUUAAUGAGAUGGGUGAUCUCUUUAUAAGGCUUGAAUAAUCCUUUUCCUCGUGAGCUAGCUUUUGAGGUGUGAGUUAGGACCAAGACCAAUUUUAACACUUAUCCCCACCAUGUAUAUGAGAUAAGUUAUCCCGGGACUAAGGGGAAAAUGGUGGAAUAAGUUAUCCCGGGUUGGAUUAAUCCCUCCAAGCAAACAAAGGAAAAUGUGUUCUUUUAUUUUAUCCCGGGAUAAUUAGUUAUCCCAGGAUAAUUAGUUAUCCCGGGAUAACCAUUUUCAAACUAAACGAACCCUUAGUACCAACAUCGAUUGUGGUGUAGUGGUAGGACUAUUCCACCCUUAGCCAGAGAUCUCGGGUUCGAGUAUAAGUAUGGAGAAAUUUUGGUUGGGAGUGUCACCCUCAAAAUGGGCCCUAUAAUGUGCGAUCCGAAUUAGUCGGAGCUUCAAUACGAAAACCGAACACUAGGUGGAAAACAAAAAAGAAUAGUGCGUGGUCCUAGUAACAAUCUAUUCCAUAAUAUAAUCAUUCGAACAAUCAAUUCACAUCGAGUACUUGUCUAGUUUUACAAAUUUCAAAAUUACAAACUUUUUUCUCGCAAAAUUAAAAUUAUGGAUCAAGUUUUGAUUUCUACAAUAAUUAAAACCAUAAAUCUGAAAUUGAAAUCUACCCUUUAGGUUAAUUUGAUAUUUGAAAACAACAUUUCAAAUAAAAGUUGAAGUUUUUUUUGAAAUAUUAUAAAUAAAUACAAAUUUAAAAUCUAAACAUCAAAUUUAUAGUUCAAAUUGCAUUGCCAAACACCUGUUUAGUACUUGCAGUUUAUUUUAAAAUAAAGAAAAACGGGAGAAUGAUCGCAUUUCCAGUGUAAUGAAUAACUUUUUCAAGUGGCAACAAUUUUGUGGACUCUAAUAACAAACUAAUUUGAUAAAUCCAGGAUCCAUUUUAUGGUGGGUCUUCUGAAAUUAAAAAUUGAGUUCACCACUCAAGUCCAAAAGAAAAGGUCUCAAAGGACAAUGUUGGAACUAUUGCACUAGUACCUAUAUAGGGGAAAUUUUAGAAAUAACAAACUUGAGUUUAUAAUUACUUCUUCCAUAAUAAUACUUUGCUAGUUACAUUCCUUGUGGUGUUCACGGUUUGAUUAAAAAUCAAAUCGAACCGUAAAUCAAAUUAAAUUGAUUAAAAAAAUUUGAUAUUUAGUUAGGUUUGGUUUGGUUUAAUUUUUGACAUGACCUACCCUGGGACCUUGUCCUAAUGGGCGUCCCAAGUUCGAUCAGGAUCGGAGACCACCUCUGUUACCCAACCCAACCUCCAACCUCCAGCCACCUGCCCUGAGUUGGUUGAAUUCCGAGCAUGUAACAAGAUAGUGUAAAAGCUCACAUAAAAGCUCUGGGAUAAGAUCACAACCUCGUCCGAUCCAAUCGAGUCACCAUCCCAUACCAAUAAUCCAACCAUACCAAACCAUACCAAAACAAGGGCCAUAAACUAAUCCAUAAUCAAAGAUAAUGUUCCAAAACGUAAUAUAAUUAAUACCAAAAUGAAAUAUGACGGAACAGUGAGAAAUUAUGUCCGAUGAUGCAGACCUCCCAGCUUAUUCCAAUGCCAAGGUUGACACCUAUGUCCGAAAAAAGAAAUAAUAUUAGAUUCAGAAUAUUAUUGGUAUCUUAUAAACCUAAAUAAAGAAUAUACAAAUUUAUAUGACGUUUUACUAUAACAAAGAAAGUUAUAUAAUAGUUUACUCGAAGUCUUACCAGGUCUAAGCGGAGAGGUUUAUCAAGAACUAAGACAAAAAGAUAAUAGAUUAUCAUAAGUACAGAUCAAAAUAUUUUACUACAAAGACGAAAUAAAAAUAAAAUAAAUUUGGACACAAAAGAACGCUAUUUAUCUAGCUUAAUGAGAAGACCUCGUAGAACUACUAUGUCCUACAAAGAGAUUAAGGAAACAUUAAAUGACCUAUAUUUAGAUUAUAAGAGACUUAAUAAUACAAAAGAAGAUCAUAUAAGACUAGAUCAGCUAAUCACCAUAAUAUCCCGACUAUAAUAUAAAUUGAUAGGAUAUCUCAAAUCUAGGGAUAAAUGAGAAUAUACCUGUGGGGUAGAAGUAUACAACUAAAAUAUUUGUACGUAAAUCGAGAAAUAAUACUAAGAAGAAAGGCGGUAGAAUUAGAAAAAGUUUUAAGUAAUUUUUUGAGUAUACUAGAAUCAUCGAAAACACCAAAAUCAUGACUUUUAAAAGAAUAUAUAAGUGCCUUAAAGGGGGAAUUAGAAGGUAUUAGGAGUGAUAUAGAAUGAUAUAAUAAACAAAUAAGACUUCAUAGAGAACAGUGUAGAGAAAUUAUUCCUUUAGGAUAAAAGUAAGCCACAGUAAAUAAAAAAGAUAUAUGAAAACACAUCCUUUUGCUCGACUAGUACAAAGACCAUAUAAUCAAUUAUAUAAAGAAUUGAAACAACAACAACAACAACAAUAACAACCCAGUAUAUUCCCAUAAAGAAAGAAUUGAAACAAAGAAACGAAAUUUUAAAAAAUAGAACAAACCUUAAUAAAUCAAAUAGAGGUAGUAGAAACUAUAGAAUUAUCAGAAGCAAUUAUAAUUUCAGAACCUAUAAAUCUUUAGACUGCAUAGAUCAUAUAAACUUGUUAAAUUAUAAAUUAGAAGGUAUUAGAUAUUGCAUAGAAUAUAGAAAUAUUAGAAUAAAAUCCAUUAGAGAACAAUGUAUUAGCAAUACUUUUCGUUAGGGUAAGAAUAGUGUUGGAAUUGAUAACUUAAAGAAAUUAGAGUAUUUAGAUCUAAAAAUUCAGAUGGAGAAGAAAUAUAGAUGUUUUAAAGAUAAUUCACUUAUUAGGUGUAAUUUUAACAACGGUGAACAUAUAUUAUAUGGAGAAGAUCCACAACCAAAUACUAUUACAGACCUUAUAAUAAAUCUAGAAGAACUGGUUCAAAAGAAAAUACUAAAAUACUAAAGACUCUAGAAAUAUUUGAAGAUCUGCAAAACAAACAAAAGAAACUGUUAGAUAAAGUAGAAUAAAAUUUUGAUUUCCUAAAGAAUUAACAAGCAGAACUAGAAAAGAAAGUUAAAGAUUUAAUUAAUAAAGAUAAAGAGGGUAACCUAGAACAUCCUGAAAUAAAACUAGUGCUACAAGAAAUAAGAAAAGAAAUGAAUCAAAUAAAAUAAAUAACACUCUCAUGAAUAAUAUUUCUAUAAAUGAUCAACUCUACUUAGCAAUAUUACAAAAGGCAACACAAAUUCAAUCAAACCCCAAAGGAUUAUCAGAUUAUCAACCUCAAGGAAAAGCAGACUCCAUAGUCAUAAAAUUAAAUAAUAUUAUAAUAUUGUUAUUAUUAGAACUUAAUAAAAAUCUAGAAAAAUCAAAACAACAAGUUAGCCAAGAUAAAAAUAUAGAAGAGUUAAUAGAGCAAUUAAAGAAAAUAGAAUUAAUCCUUCUGAAAGAAAAAGAAAAAGCUAAAACGACUAAACCUAAAACAUGGACCUUUUUCCAACAUCCAUAAGCAAGCCAAGAUCAAGUUUUAUCAAAGACAGAUUAACAAAUAGUGUGAUAUCCAAAAUAACAAGUAGACCAAAAAUGACUUCAAGAUAACAACUAGAAGAAAUAGUAGACGUGGAUAAAGAUAUACAAUUAUUCCAACAAAAUAAAUUAAAACUUUUGAGAGCCAAAACUUCAUACAAUGAAGGAAUAUUUUCAACAGCAUAAUUAUAUAGGUGUUAUAGAGAAGAACAACUAUGUGUUAUUAGAGAAAAUAGCUAUAGUAUAAAUUUAAUAAGCACAAACUCUUUAAAAGAAAUUACAAAAUUAAACUUGAGCCUUCUGCACAUGAGACUAAUAGUAAUAGGAUUAAAAGGAUUAACUAGGAAGAACAUAGGAAUUAAAGUAUUGGUUACAAUAUACGAUAAUAGAUGGUCAGAUUCAAAAAGGUCUAUAAUAUAAAUAAUUGAAGUAGACAUGUCAUGUAAUGGAGGACUUUUUUAUUAUAGUCCAGACUAUAUGACAAAUUCUCUAGAAUUUGGAAAGUACAUAAAAAUAGGUAUUCAGACUAAAGGUUAUGAAGAGAUGAAUAAUGGAAAUAACUUACUAAUAUGUGUAGGUUUUAGUGGAAAACUUUCCACUAAUAGUGAUACAAAGUUUAAGUUAAAAAUAGAGGACGUAGUAAGCUUAAUGAGGAAUAAAGGAAUAAGACUAAUAAAGCCAUUAAAGAUAAAUUCAGAAGAAUAUGCACGACUAGCAUAGGAUCUAGAGAAAUUUAGUAAGAAAGAAAUACUAAACCCAACUGAUCAUUUUAUGUAUACGAAUAAAAAAGAAAGAACCUCAGUCAGAUUCACCGACUAUACAUAUACAAAUAAAAGAGAGAUAGAUGAGGAAGCUGAAGCAAGUGAAAAUAAUAACUAUAUGAAUAUAGAAAUAAUAGAAGAAGAUGGUUUCGAAGUAAAUAAGUCCAUAAUGAAAACAGAAUCCCUAUACGAAAUAAAUAACAAUAGAGUGUUUAAAUGUAUAGGCUGUAAAAUAAGAAAUCUAAAGCUUACCGAAGUAAAAAAACAUUUUAUCAAAUGUAAAUUAAGAACAGAUAAUUAUGGUUAUACAUUCAAAAAGAAAAGCAAAAAAGAAGAUUUAGAAAUAAUUUACAGUAUAGAUAAGAUAGAAAGUAUAACUACAAAAAAUUUACCAAGAUAUAGAGUAUUUGGAAUAAAUCCUAAAGAAUAGACAAAACAAAAUAUAAAACCCAGAGGAAGAAGAAUGCCAAUAAAAGAGCCCAUUAGAUUACAAGAGGGUGGUAAUAAGGAAAAUAUUUUAAAUCUGGCGACUCAUGACCCUCAGACGUGGAAUACUGCAAUAGACCUAUGAAAAAAUCUAGUUGUAGCAAAUUACAUACAAGCUAAUCAAGAACCAGAUAUAGAAAAUAUGUAUAGAUAUCUAGAAACAUUCAUAGGAGAAACUACUAAGCCGUUAUAGGAAGCCUACAAGACAAACUUCUCCGAAGAUUUUCAAAGAUUGGUAGAUUUAGGAUCCAAUCCAUAUAAUUUUGUAAAUAAAGUACAUACUUUACUAAUAGGAGAAGAUCCCAAUAGUGGAUUAAUAGUAUUACAGAAAAAGGCUUUAAUAAAUUUAGAGAAAUUAAGUAUAAAUAAUUGGUCAAAAAUUAAGGAAUUUCUAAAUGAGUAUUUCUAUUAUUGUAUCAUUAGUGGAAACUCCUUUGACUAGUCUCGAGAAAAAAGAUUGUUUAAUAAAUUACUUGGAACCUUAGUAAGAGAAAUAUAAAAAAAUGAUCUAAAAGAGAAGGAGUAGUACAAAACUCGAGACACUAAAUGGUCAACAAGACAGAGAAUACAACAUGUAAUGGAAGUAUUACAAGAAAAGUGUACAAAUACACAAAUACAAAAAUAAUUAAAAAGAAGUGAUACAGAUUUCUAUAAAAAUAUAUAUACUACACAACAAUAUGAUCAAGAUUAUAAGAAAAAAAGAUAUAAAAAACUAUAUAAAAGGGAUUAUUGUCCUAAGAAAAAAAAUUAUUUAAGAAAGUCAAAAGAAAAAAAUCAUUUCUAAACAAAUAGAGACAUAUAAGAAAAUAUAACACCAAUAGAACUUAUAAAAAUAAAUUAGAAUGUUUUACUCAUGGAAGUAUAGAACAUUUAGCAAAUACUUGUCCAAAAAGAAAUAAUAGUAGAUCUAGAAAUGCACAACUAAUAGACGAUGUAAAUGAAAAUCUAAUAAAUAUAGAUGAAUAUAUGUCAGACAACCAAAGCAUAUACUCCAUCAGGAGUAUGGAGGUAUUUGAAGAAAAAAAAAUACCUAUUGGAUUCCUCGGAUUCUGAAGGAGAAGAAUUUAUAGAUGAAGUAGGAUUAGAAAAUAUAAUUCCAAACUAUCAUGAUUUAGUCAACUUUAUAGAAGUCUGUGAACAUGAAUUUGUAAGAGGUAAGAGACUAGACAGUAACCAAUGUUUUAAUUUGGAUGGUUUUCAAGUAAAAAUAAAAGGGCAAAAUGCAGAAAAUGUUAUAUAGAAGGAUGCAUAACUUAUAUAGAAAAAAACUCACAAAUACAAAAACUAGAAAUUUAAAUAGACAGGAACCAAUGAAUAAAAUAACGGAUUAUAAAAUAUUAGAACUAGAAGAAAGACAAAGAAGGUUGGAAAUAAGAAUAAAUAGACUCGAGAAAAAUAAAGAAGUAAUUAAGGAAGAAGAAGUAUUAGAAAUAAAAUUAUCGAGUACAUCCGUGAAGGAAAUAGUGGAUAAUCAAAAUAAACAGAAAAAAAUCAAUGAAUAUACCAUUCGAAGGAAUGAUAAGUAAUGGAGAUAAAAAGAUUAGUACAGUCAAAGUUUUAACAAGAAUAAGGAUUCAAAAUUAUGAGUUUGAAACAUUAGCCAUAGUAAAUUCAGGAUGUACAUGAAGUAUAUUAAAAGACUUAAUUUUGCCACCAUGACUAAUUAAAGAAUUACUAAAGCCACAAGACUCCAUGCCAAUGGAUGGAACUUAUAACACCUAUACAAAGUAUAUACCAAGAGCAAAAGUAAGUUUUAUUAACACUUGCAAAAAAUUCUAUCAGUCAUUAUUUAAACUUAAUGGAAUACUGGUUAGAGACUUAAACAUAAAGGCAGACUUUGUGUUAGGAUUAGAUUUUAUGGUACGAAAUAAUGGAGGAUGUUUUGAUACUAGAGAUUGGAUAAUUUUUGAGAGUAAUAUUACUCAUUCACUAGUAUAGACAUGACCUAUACUAACUAAUUAUAGUUUUCUUAAGGAUAAAUCAGAAGAAGAAAGCUCAAAUAGUCAAAUAAAACCCGACAAAUCACUAGAAUGUGAUAAGGGAGAAAAUUGUACAUGUAGUAACAAUAAAAAGAUAACAAUGUAUGAACAAUUAAAAGAUUUAUUAACAGUAGAAGAAUUAGAAAAAGACUACACUAUAAUAGAAAUGGAUAUAAAAUUAUACAAUUUUCAGAGAGAAAUACAACUGAUAGGUGUAAUGCCCCGUAAUUUGGGCUAUAAUAUAGACCAUGAUUUCGAUGUGUUGUUAAUCCCAAAGCUAUAAAAUCCUAUCCUGAUACGGCAUGUUAAUUAUUGUGUGGCAUGUGAAUCUACUCAAGCUUGAGUUUAGACCAUAGAGGUCCUUCAACUCAAGGGCGAGUUGAAACUAUUUCGAUCGACUAAGUUUUAGUGGAUGUUGUAAAGUGUGUCAGCUUCCAUCAAUCAUAAAUCUCUGUAUAUGUCGAAUUAGGAAGCCUACUAUGUGUCAAAUGAUAGGUAUUAGAGUUAGCUUUCCAACGAUACCAAUUUGGCUAUAAUCCGACACCCGAGUAAGAAGUUAUGGCCCUUCAAAGUGAUAAGCGUCGCCUAACCAUCGCCCAUGGCCACCAGAAGGCAUAGGAAAUAGCCUACGUGGCGCCUAUGUAAACAUAGGUGAUAGCCUAGGCGGCGCCUAUGUGAACAUAGGCAAUGGGAUGGGCGGUGCCUAUGUAAAGAAUUCUAGUGACUUAAACACUCCGUGUUGAGGACAAAGUGGUCCUUUUCCACCCUUACUUAGCCCUAAAACACGAAAUCUAAUUCUAAGGACCCCAAAAUACAUAUUAUUUCAUCAAAACUGCUUAAGGAUUCUCCUUAGGGUUUUAAAAUAAAAAUCCAAAUAGUUUAAGAUUUGACCGUAGGUUUUCAAAGGUAAUUACUGAUAACGCUCAAUCUACAGCUCUCGUGGGAGUGUAAAGCGGUCGUUAGCAAAUAUAGAACCCAACCUGGGUUGGGUAUCGAUCCCACAGAGAAUAGCUUGGCCAACAAGCAAGAGAAAUUACUAGACUUUUAGUGCAAGUCUCGUAGGAAAGGGGGGAUUGUAGUAUGUAACCAAAACAAGAAGGUAAGAACUGAAAAUAGCAAAAUAAAGAGAGAUUGUCACGUGUGUUGUAAACAAUGAGAAUUGAGGCGUUGGGGUUAUGUCCACCUUCUGAGGUAUACGUCUCUAUUGGCUAUGAGUGUGUAGAGUCUUGACAUGUAAUUGCUUAUAGAGAAUUGUAGUCGAUGGUAAAUCCAAGCGUCUCUCGACCUAAACAAGGACUAUUUCACUUUAACUCUCUCGAGCUUAAAGCGUGACUAACGGUACGAAUUCUCCAAGAAGUUAGUCCAGGUACGGCACUAGCUUUUUAAUAGGAAAGGGUGUCCUACUACCUUGACAUUAUCUCUUUUCCAGACAAAUAACUUUUCUCUCGAACAAGUCAGAUGUUAGACUGGCGUUGGUCUAUGCGUCUUCUUUUCUAGACAAAUAACCUUUCUCUCGAACAGGUUAGAUGUUAGAAUGGCGUGUUCUUGUGUUUGAACCGCAAAGAAUGUAGAUUUAAGAUGAAGAGAAUAAUGAUAUAAGCAAUAUACUUGUCUUGAACUCACAAACUCAUAGCUAUAGAUAGUAACUCAUUCGGCUUCCAUAACCCCAACUAAGAGAUUUAGUUACCCAUGAAUGCGAAGGAUAUCACGUUUUGCAUGGUGGAUGGCGUGAAUAGUAGGUGUUUGGCGUGUGGUUUUAGUGAUUCCGUAGCAAGUAACAAUUCUCUUGUUGUGGAAUUUAAGAGUAGAAGAAUGAAGAAUUGAGAAUGGGUUGUAGGAAGAUGUCUUAAUUGUAAGGAGAUGAAUGAAUUGUCAGAAUGUCUCCCUUCUUGAAAAUCUCUAACAUGAUAGGGUAUUUAUAAUACUCCUAUCCUACUCCUACUAAACUAAUAAAAUAAAUAACCAAAUCCUAAUAUACUAAUGAAAUCCUUGACCCAAUUGUACUAGGGUAAGGUUACAAAAUUAUAAUCCAAAUAGAAUGAUGAAACACAUAACCUAAUUGCACUAGGUUAAUGUAUUAUGGCAAAAAUCCAGCUUUGUGUCUGUAAGUCCCAAAGUCUUCAGAAAUGCUGUUUUAGCCCGGGACAGAUUUUCCAUGCAGCAGAUUUAGUCCUUUAUGCGUCCAGCUCCUUUCCAUCUCGUUUGUGAGCUUUCUUUUGCGUCAAGUAAGCCAUAAAUUGCUGUAUUUUGCAUCAUUUAUACCUGAAACUUUCCUAAUCACAUUUGUUAGCUCAUUUACAGGAAAAAGGACUAAAAGUGUACGAAAUAGAUAAUUAGUUCUCGAAACUAGGCUAAAAUAUGGGCAAAAUAUAUUGAUAUAGGCGCGUAAUUUCGCCUAUCAUCAACACCCCACACUUAGAGCUUUGUUCGUCCUCGAACAACAUAUCAUGUCCUUCUAAGCAUUGACUUAAGGUUUUUACAGAAACAACACAAAACAUUCUUCAAGACAAGCACAACAAUUAUCAACGAAGAGUAGCUUUCCGAUUAUAAGUAGAAACAAUUUAACCUCAAGCAUAGACUCGUGAUGGUGAUCAACUCGCAUGCAAACGUUUAAGGUACAUAGAAUCAUAUACAACUAUCCAAAACUCAUCAACCAUGUGUGUCUCACAAUAUAGUACCCAUAAUCACUCACAAGUAUAGCAUAUUUUUCAAACAUGGGCAGCAAAGUAUCCUUGCGCUCACUCUCACAAAGAAUUCAUAUGUAGCAGCUAAUGACCAUAGGCUUGCCCUUAAUGUAGUACUCCACUAAAUGUCGGAAUGUUAAGGUUAGGAUCAAGUAGGUCUUUUGAUGGUUGUAAUGUAGGCUAAGGGACGGGUAGGAUCAACUAUUUUGGCCAGAAAUAGUGACUAAGUUCCUAAGCACUUUAAUACAUCACAUUGUAUUAUUGACACUUUUUUGUAGCACCCUUGUUCUCCUCUUUUGUUUUUCAAUUUUAAAGCACAACUCACUUUUCAGCUUUCUUUUCCUUUUUCUUCUCACAACAUACCUCUUAUGAUAGCACUUUCUUUUUCAUAACAUAUUCAAGCACCAUUACAAUUUAAAGCAUCAUACUCAACCAAUUUCCUCUUAUGUUGUCACAUGACUUUUUCACUUUAAAGCACUUAGGAAUUUGGAUCAAAUUACGGUCUUGAAAAAAAAAUGAAUUAGGCUUACAUACAAGGUUGUCAAAGAAAUAGGCUAAAGGCUCAAAAGGGUUUAACUAGGAUGAUGUCCAUGGGUAGGUAAAACUGAAGGUAAACAAAUAUAGGUUGCCAAAGAAAUGCCUAAAUCAUAUCCUAAACUUACACUCCUUAUUUUCGCUUUGCAUACAUACCAGGCAAGUUCUAGCAUCAGCCACAUACAUAGAAUAUACUAUUAUCUCACACACACAAGGCACAUGGUCGACUUGAUUGGUAGCAAUAUAGACUCUCAACCCAACAAGUGAAGGAAUUGAAUCACACACUAUCACAUAAUGAGUCACAACUAGAGCCUAAAUGUCUCAAUAGUCACAAUUGUAAUACAUACUAUUGUUAUAAUCUCAUGCUGCCUAUUAAAAUAAUUUCAUGCGAGGCUAGAAAAAUUUUAACUACUAAAAACUAAAAAAAAAACGUCACACGAAAAAAAUCACAAAAAAAAAUCGGACUCAAAACAAAAUAAAUAAAACAAAAUAAACAAGCAAACAUACAAAUAUAGCAUGCAGAUUCUGCCGACACCCCACACUUAGACUAGACACUGCCCUCAGUGGAAAAUAAAGUCGAAGAACCUGAUUAGUCGGACUCUUCCUCAAUGUCAUACCCCCUUCGUUCGAGUCAUCGUAAGAGUCAUCGUCAGAGUUCUCCUCAGCAUCAGAAUCAGGCAAGCGUCUAUCAUCAUCAGUUGGCACGUCAUCAUCAAGAGGUUCCUCGAAAUAUACUCCCACUCCACACAUCUCCCGGGCAUGUCUGUUCAUUGGGUAGUCGUGGUCCAGCUGUUGGAGCUCUUCAGCAGUUGGAAUACGUCCACCACUCAUCAUAGUGAAUCUCGUCAUGCCAUAGAGAUGACGGAAGAAACUCUCGUCACGAGCAUGUCUCUCCGCAGUGGUAAGGUUGACUCCAUGCGUUGUUUCAGCAUCUUUGACCUUGGUGAGGUCAACCUUCUUUGGGGUAUGUGGGAGUUUGUGGUCAGCUGGUUCCUCCUCUAUAUCCUCCUUCCGCAACAUUGCUGUCAACAAAUUGCCGAAUGUGAAAUAGGACCAUUCACAUUCACAUCAGUCUGGCUUUCCUCAUGGUGGAUCGAAUGAUUGCCCCAAAGUUGAUAGGGACAUUCGUCAUUAAUGAAUAAACCAGGCACACUCUAUCUCUCGAUAUCUUUGUGUAUUGCGUCCCAGGAAUGAGGCAUGAGUUGACAAUGCGCAUCCAGAUUCUUGCUUCCCUAUUUAGUGGAGCAUAGGGGAAUGUGUUGUGACGGCCUGUUUCCUUAUGUCUGCCCCAUCUCGCCAUCGAUCUGCUUCCACAAAGCGUGUGUCUUAUAGCUCUGUAAGGAGGUCUGCUGUACAGCUCUUUGUAUGGUGCAGUGUCGACCGAAGGUAGGCCUAGAAACGAGUUGAUCCAAUCCGCUGUAAGCUGUAACACUUGGCCCCGAAUUUUGACUUCGUUGCCUGUUGUGUUUGGCGACCAGUUGGCAUAAAACUCUCUUGUCAAGUCAAGAUUGCACUCUCCCAUGUCACGGAAGAUGAAAUCCAGCUUCAAAGCCAUAAUCUUAGCCAACAUUUGCGGCUCCUUCUUUGCUAAGGUCUCCUUAUUGAUUAAGUCGACGUGCACAUAUUUCUUUUCUUUGUUGCUGCUGUACCAUGCCUUGGCUUCUUCCUCAAGAACCCAUUUGAUUCCGAACAUUCUGCGUGGUAGGUGUGCGGAAGAUGAUUCGCCUUGGUCUUUUCGGCUUCUCUUUUUGUCCUUGCGGGUUGUGGUAGCCUUCUCCUUGCCUUGCCUUGCUUUCGGUGCCAUUGUACCGCCUUUACCAUACAACGCGACCAAAUCGUCAAUUGAAAUCAAUCUCCUCGUUGCAUACUUCUUACACCUAUAUUUGCUCAAACAAAUGAAAACGAUUAGUACGAUGGGUUGCCUCCCACCAAGCGCCUUAGUUUUGGUCGUGGCACGACUCUUAUUUUUGGAUUUUCAUUUAUCAAAAAGAAAAAAUACUAAAACGACAAAACGAUAAAACAAUAAAACGAAGGGUUGCCUCCCAUCUAGCGCCUUAUUUAUUGUCGUGGCUCGACGUAGUAAUCUCGAGUACUUAGACUUCGUCGAGAUAAGUGAUGGCCAUGUCAUUUAUCGAGUCAAGAGGACCGAUAUAUGGCUUAACACGUUGGCCAUUCACCUUGAAGAUAACACCCUCAUUAUUUUCCAAUUCGACUACUCCAAACGAGUAGACGUGGGUGACUUUAAAUGGACCAGACCACUUUGAUUUUAACUUACCUGGGAAGAGCUUGAAUCUGGAGUUAAAGAGUAGCACCAUGUCACCUUUUUGGAAGUGUCGUCGAACAAUCCGCUGAUCGUGAUACUUCUUCAUCCGCUCCUUGUAUAAAUCUGAUCUUUCAUAAGCAUGGAGACGGAAUUCAUCUAGCUCGUUCAGCUGCUCCAACCUCAGGUUCUUCACAUCAUCCCAAUUCAGAUUCAAGUGCUUCAAUGCCCAUAAUGCCUUGUAUUCAAGCUCGAUGGGUAGAUGACAAGCCUUCCCAUAAACUAGCUGAUAAGGUGACAUGCCAAUGGGUGUCUUGAAUGCAGUCCUAUACGCCCAUAGUGCAUCAUCUAGCUUCCGAGACCAAUCCUUCCGAUUCGCAUUGACCGUCUUGGCAAGGAUUUGCUUGAUCUCCCGAUUGGAAACCUCUACUUGUCCACUAGUUUGGGGAUGAUAAGGCGUAGCUACCUUGUGUUGCUUGACUCCAUACUUGGCCAAUACAGAUUUGAAUAGCUUGUUGCAGAAGUGAGAUCCUCCAUCACUUAUGAUAGUACGAGGUACCCCAAAGCGAGAGAAGAUAUUCUUCUUUAAAAACGCUACAACACGCUUUCCUUCAUUAUCGGCCAAUGCUACAGCUUCAACCCAUUUCGACACAUAAUCCACAGCAACCAAGAUGUACUUCAUUCCAAACGAAUUUACGAAUGGUCCCAUGAAAUCAAUACCCCAUACAUCAAAGAGUUCUACCUCCAGGAUUGUGGACAUGGGCAUUUCAUGGUGUUUUGAAAUAACACCUUGACGUUGGCAUUGGUCACACCUUCUCACAUAGUCGUGUGCAUCUCUGAAUAUUGUAGGCCAAUAAUAACCACUUUGCAAGACUUUUCUUGCUGUUCGAUUACCCGCAUGAUGUCCUCCAACUUGCGAAGUGUGGCAUGCUUCUAAUAUAGUGGGCACUUCGUCAUGGGAUAUACAUCGUCGAAUGAUACCAUCCGCACAUCUUCGAAACAAAUAAGGCUCAUCCCAAUAAUAGUGCUGAACGUCAUGCAUAAACUUCCUCCUCUGGUGGUAAGAUAAAUUUGUAGGUAACACAUUACUCACCACGAAAUUCGCAAAGUCGGCAUACCAUGGUAAGUCUUCUAUUGUUGUCGCUAAUAUCUCCUCGUCAGGGAAUGCAUCGCCAAUCUGAUUUUCUGAUUGCGCCACAUACUCAUUCUCAAGUCUAGAUAGGUGAUCAGCCACUUGGUUCUCGCAACCUCUUCUAUCUUUGACUUCGAAAUCAAACUCUUGCAGCAGCAACACCCAUCGAAUCAGCCUUGGUUUUGCAUCCUUCUUUGUCAUUAGAUACCUAAGAGCUGCAUGGUCUGUAUGAACGAUCACUUUAGUACCUAAUAGGUAGGCGCGGAACUUCUCAAACGCAUACACAACCGCUAAUAGCUCUUGUUCAGUGACGGUGUAGUUCCUUUGGGCUUCAUUGAGGACCUUACUCGCAUAGUAGAUAGGAUGAAAUAAUUUCUCCUUUCUCUGUCCAAGAACAGCACCAACGGCUACACCACUAGCAUCACACAUGACUUCGAACGGGAGCGUCCAAUCUGGUGUUACCAUGAUAGGGGCUUCAACGAGUUUUUCUUUAAGGCAUUCAAAUGCCUUUAAGCAAUCAUCAUUAAAGUCAAACUUCGCAUCUUUCUCCAAUAGCUUGCAUAAUGGACUAGAAAUUUUGGAGAAGUCUUUGAUGAAUCUACGAUAAAACCCAGCAUGGCCAAGAAAACUACGAACUCCCUUCACCGAAAUUGGAGGUGGUAGCUUCUCAAUUACCUCUAUUUUGGCGCGAUCAACCUCUAUUCCUUUUUCGGAGAUCUUGUGCCCAAGAACAAUUCCUUCUUUUACCAUGAAGUGGCACUUCUCCCAAUUCAGCACAAGGUUGAACUCUACACAUCUUUGUAAUGCCAUGCUUAAAUUCACCAAACAUGCUUCGAAAGACUCCCCAACAACUGAAAAGUCGUCCAUAAAUACCUCCAAAGUGUCUUCUACCAUAUCAGAGAAAAUAGACAUCAUACAUCGCUGAAAGGUGGCUGGUGCAUUACAUAACCCGAAUGGCAUACGUUUGAAGGCAAACGUACCAUAUGGGCAUGUAAACGUUGUCUUCUCUUGGUCUUCUGGUGCAAUAAAAAUCUGAUUAUAACCUGAAUAACCAUCAAGAAAGCAAAACCAUCCUUUUCCCGCUAAUCGAUCUAGCAUUUGGUCCAUAAAUGGCAUGGGGAAGUGAUCCUUGAGAGUCCAAGAAUUCAGCUUGCGGUAGUCCAUGCAUACUCUCCAUCCAGUGACGGGCCUGAGUGGAAUAAGCUCAUUCUUUGCAUUCGCAACCACCGUCAUACCUCCUUUCUUGGGAACACAUUGUACUGGGCUUACCCAUGUACUAUCAGAAAUAGGAUACACAACUCCUGCGUCUAACCACUUGAUAAUCUCCUUCUUCACCACCUCUUGCAUUGGUGGGUUUAGACGUCUUUGGUGUUCGAUGGUGGGUGUGCACUUUUCUUGGAGCUGAAUUUUAUGAGUGCAAAUUCCAGGUGGAAUACCAAGGAUAUCCGCAAUGGUCCAUCCAAUAGCUCUAAUAUACUUGCGUAAAAUUGCAAUAAGAGCUGCAACUUGUUGCUCACCUAAAUCGGCUGCCACUAUGACUGGAAGAGUGUUUCCGCUUCCUAAGAAUGCAUACUUCAAAUGGCUUGGCAGCUCCUUUAAUUCUAAUGUGGGUGGUUCUUCAAUAGAUGGCUUAGCUGGUGGUGUGGGUCGAUUCUUGAGAUCAAGAUCCAGCUUCUUAGGAGGAUAGCGAUAUGCUCCUAAUCCCGAUAGAGCACAAAUAUCAUCUUCAGAAAUUUCAGCAUCAUCAUCAUCUUCUUCCAUGAGCAAAACCUCCAAAGGAUCAUCAAGAAUUUGUUCUUCAGCAAGUAACUCAUCCUCGUCAUCAACGACAACAUCAGUCACAGAAAAUACACUUAGAUCUUUGGGUUGCUUCAUUGAUUUGCAAACAUCAAAGCGCACCACUUCAUCAUUUAUUCGGAAUGAAAGUUCAUUAGCUCUCAAAUCUAUGAGCACACUUCCCGUAGCAAGGAAAGGGCGUCCCAAGAUUAUGGGAACCUCUGAAUCUGCUUCGCAAUCCAAGAUGACAAAGUCUGCUGGAAAUAUGAAUGAAGAUACCUUCACCAAGACAUCGCAUAGAAUACCAACCGGUCGUUUUACCGACCUAUCCGCCAUAACAAGCUUCAUAUUAGUUGGUGUAGGAUCUCCCAACCCCAACUUCUUGUAGAUUGAUAAUGGCAUCAAGUUGAUGCUGGCUCCUAAGUCACAUAAUGCUUUAGCAAAGUCCAAAGAUCCGACGGUGCAAGGAAUAGUGAAAGCUCCGGGGUCGGCCUUCUUCUGAACUAUGGAUCGGGUAGCUAUUGCACUACAAUGAUGCACAUCUUCUUUCAGCUCAUAGCUUGCUGCCCUCUUCUUAGUCAAAAGAUCUUUCAUAAACUUCGCAUACCCAGGCAUUUGUUCAAGUGCCUCUACCAAUGGGACAUUAAUAGUCAGCUGCUUCAAGAUGGUCAUGAACUUGCUGAACUUAGUGUCAUCGGCCGCCUUCUUCAGUCUUUGUGGAAAAGGUGGUGGUGGGUAUGGAAGUGUUCUUUCCAUGGCUUUCUUCUCCUCUUGCUUCCGUUUAUUACUUUUUUCAGGCUGCACGUCACUAGGCAACACGUCCUUGACGUUGGAAGUGGAUAUUGCGGCGUCUUCCCUAGUGGCGUCACUAGGUGUGGCGGUUGUGUCUGCUGUUCUGUCAACUAUUUGCUUGCCUUCUGCUGAAGUUUCCAGCACCUUACCACUCCUCGUAGUGAUGGCCAUGCAUGACCCAUCAGUCCUUGGAUUUUGCACCGUAUCGCUAGGCAAGGUGCCGGCUUUUCUUUGGUUGAGUGUUGCUGAAAGUUGACUGAAUUGCUGCUCUAGUUGCUUGAUAGAAGUGGAAUGAGAAUCAACUAAUUGCUUCAUGGAGGCCAAAUCGUCAAUCACCUCCUUAACUCCCGCAUUCGUCGCUUCCACUCCUUUCAAUAACUUAGCCAUCAUGUCUUCCAUAGAAUUAGAUGUGGUGGUAUCACGUCUACCAGGGGGAACGUACAAACCACUGUUUUCAUUAUUUUUCUUCCAACUACCUUGGUCUUUACCUCCAGAUUUGUCAUAAUAGUUCCGACCUUGGUUUCCUUGGGCAUUCCCACGGAAACCCCCCUGAUUGUUCAAGUAGUUGGCCUCCUCUUCUGAAUCAGAUUCGUCUCUUCCUUUUGACGCAAUAGAUUUCACUUUUUCAGUCUUCCCUAAUAGAUGCUUUGUAAGAAGAUCCAUUUGGGUUUUCAUGUGCGCCAUAUCUUGAUCACGUUCUUCUUCUCUCCUUCUUUGAUCUGCAGACAUGCCAAUAGAUAAAGUGGGGCUUGCUACCUCAGAAUCCCUGGUAUGCCAAGCUCUACUUUGUUUCGUCAUACGAUCUAGCAUGUUGCUUGCUUGACCAAAGGUGAGGUCCAUAAAAGAACCUCCAGCUGCGUUGUCCACCACUGGUUUAGUUACUGAAUUCAAGGCUCUAUAUAAGAUCUCCAUGAGGUGAACAUUAGUCAUGUGAUGGUUUGGGCAUCUCGCUAGCUUUGUCUUGAACCUCUCCCAUGUUUCGUGAAGAGCUUCAGAGGGAAGCUGACGAAAGUUGCUGAUUUCAUCUCUCAAUUGAGCCCUCUUGGAUGGCGGAAAGAAUCUUUCUAGGAAAGCGUCUCUCAAUUGCCUCCAAUUUGUAAUAGAAUCAGGAGUCAGCCCAUUCAACCAUAAUGUUGCCUCCCCAGACAGAGACAAUGGAAAUAGACGUAAUCGAAUAGCAUUCUGACCAACUCCAGGAUUGUCAAAAGACUUGCAUGUAGAAAUAAAGUUGAUGAGAUGCAUAUUCGGAUCAUCGCCUGCUAGUCCACCAAAUAAUCCCUUGAGUUGCAAUAACUGAAUCAUGGUGCUAGUGAUGUUGAACUUGGCUCCGGGCGCUAAUGGUGGUGGAAUUAUAGCUCCAGUGGCUCCGGCACCAUCAAGAUCAUCAUCAUCAUCGUCGAAAGCUGGUUGCAAAGGUUGGCGAUCAUAUCUGUACCGAGCUUGUCGACCUCGUCUGUUGGUAGGUGUUGCCAUUUCAGCGCCAUGCCUUGGGUUGAUCAACUCGUCAUCUCCUAAAUCUUCAUCGUCAGGAUUUGUUGCUCGUCCAGGAUUAUCAAUGUUUUGUUGUUGGACUUGAGCAGCGGCAAGAGCAGCUAAUCUUGCUUGCUCAUGUUGAGCAGCCAUCCUGUCGAUUUCCGCUUGUGCUUCCAUUCUUCUGAUUCGUUGUGGUUCCGGAUUGAUUGGUAAUAACGGUUGACCAGAACUUCUAGUAUGGGGCAUGCACUAAAAGAAAAACCUGCAAUAAACAAAAACAAAAACUAAACGUAAAAGUACGAGAAUCUUUGACCAAAGGGUCUAGUAAUUUUCACGAACUUGAUUGACACUCGUAUUCCCCGGCAACGGCGCCAAUUUUUGAUAACGCUCAAUCUACAGCUCUCGUGGGAGUGUAAAGCGGUCGUUAGCAAAUAUAGAACCCAACCUGGGUUGGGUAUCGAUCCCACAGAGAAUAGCUUGGCCAACAAGCAAGAAAAAUUACUAGACUUUUAGUGCAAGUCUCGUAGGAAAGGGGGGAUUGUAGUAUGUAACCAAAACAAGAAUGUAAGAACUGAAAAUAGCAAAAUAAAGAGAGAUUGUCACGUGUGUUGUAAACAAUGAGAAUUGAGGCGUUGGGGUUAUGUCCACCUUCUGAGGUAUACGUCUCUAUUGGCUAUGAGUGUGUAGAGUCUUGACAUGUAAUUGCUUAUAGAGAAUUGUAGUCGAUGGUAAAUCCAAGCGUCUCUCGACCUAAACAAGGACUAUUUCACUUUAACUCUCUCGAGCUUAAAGCGUGACUAACGGUACGAAUUCUCCAAGAAGUUAGUCCAGGUACGGCACUAGCUUUUUAAUAGGAAAGGGUGUCCUACUACCUUGACAUUAUCUCUUUUCCAGACAAAUAACUUUUCUCUCGAACAAGUCAGAUGUUAGACUGGCGUUGGUCUAUGCGUCUUCUUUUCUAGACAAAUAACCUUUCUCUCGAACAGGUUAGAUGUUAGAAUGGCGUGUUCUUGUGUUUGAACCGCAAAGAAUGUAGAUUUAAGAUGAAGAGAAUAAUGAUAUAAGCAAUAUACUUGUCUUGAACUCACAAACUCAUAGCUAUAGAUAGUAACUCAUUCGGCUUCCAUAACCCCAACUAAGAGAUUUAGUUACCCAUGAAUGCGAAGGAUAUCACGUUUUGCAUGGUGGAUGGCGUGAAUAGUAGGUGUUUGGCGUGUGGUUUUAGUGAUUCCGUAGCAAGUAACAAUUCUCUUGUUGUGGAAUUUAAGAGUAGAAGAAUGAAGAAUUGAGAAUGGGUUGUAGGAAGAUGUCUUAAUUGUAAGGAGAUGAAUGAAUUGUCAGAAUGUCUCCCUUCUUGAAAAUCUCUAACAUGAUAGGGUAUUUAUAAUACUCCUAUCCUACUCCUACUAAACUAAUAAAAUAAAUAACCAAAUCCUAAUAUACUAAUGAAAUCCUUGACCCAAUUGUACUAGGGUAAGGUUACAAAAUUAUAAUCCAAAUAGAAUGAUGAAACACAUAACCUAAUUGCACUAGGUUAAUGUAUUAUGGCAAAAAUCCAGCUUUGUGUCUGUAAGUCCCAAAGUCUUCAGAAAUGCUGUUUUAGCCCGGGACAGAUUUUCCAUGCAGCAGAUUUAGUCCUUUAUGCGUCCAGCUCCUUUCCAUCUCGUUUGUGAGCUUUCUUUUGCGUCAAGUAAGCCAUAAAUUGCUGUAUUUUGCAUCAUUUAUACCUGAAACUUUCCUAAUCACAUUUGUUAGCUCAUUUACAGGAAAAAGGACUAAAAGUGUACGAAAUAGAUAAUUAGUUCUCGAAACUAGGCUAAAAUAUGGGCAAAAUAUAUUGAUAUAGGCGCGUAAUUUCGCCUAUCAUCAACACCCCACACUUAGAGCUUUGUUCGUCCUCGAACAACAUAUCAUGUCCUUCUAAGCAUUGACUUAAGGUUUUUACAGAAACAACACAAAACAUUCUUCAAGGUAUUUUUUAUGAACAUGCAUGCUUUAAAAUGGGGGUUUUCAAUCAAAUGCUAAUAUCUUGCUUUCAAUAUAAUUUCUAAGUCAUUUUCUUUAUGUUGUGGGAAUUGUUUGCCUAUAUACUUAAAUUAUUGAAACCAUGCAUAUGUGAUUUGAGAUUUUCCAUGGAAGUUUGAUAAAUAUGAAUGAUAAAUUGUUUUCAAAUUCCCGUGAUAAUGUUUCUAUACUCUAUAUUGUAUUGUGAACAACAAAAGAGAGCAUGAAUUUGAAAUAAAUAUUGUUCACCACUUGUAAAUGAUGAAGCACCUUGGUUUUUACAUGAUUAUGCAUAUGUGGAUGUGAUAUUGAUGACUUGCAAGUCGGGUAUGAAGAUACCCUUCAGAAUACGAUAUCAGAUUGAAUAAGAUGAAAUUUAAAUACAUUGAUUUUACAUGAGAAAGGUGGAUGCCUAAAGAAGGCAUUUGAGACACAAGGGCUCAUCAUUGGAAAACGUGUUUACCGACAUGGAAUAUUGGUACCAGGUUAAGUGAUCUUGUGUACUUGACUUCAUGUCAUUCCCAAAUUGGGACUAUAGGUAGGAGCCCAGGCUAAGUGAUCUCGGGCACUACCAUUAGGUCGAUACACCAUGCUAUGUGAUCUUGUGUGUCUCUCCCUCACUUAUACUCUAAUCUCGGCGGCAACCGAGGUUUGACAGUUGGAGUAAAUCAUGUAGGGUGUUUCACCUAGCUCAGUUGCAUUUCAUUAUUGUUGAGAAAAACUAUUGUAUUACACCCAUGUGCUUUCAAAUGAUUUGAUACGAAAUUGCUUUAUAAUGGCUCUUAACUAUGUAUUGUAAAAAUAUUAUAUUUUAUUUUGAUAUAUCUGUGUGCCAGUACUUUUGUGUUGACCCCCUUCCCUCUCUAACCACUCAGGUUCAGAGGCCCAAUUCAGGGGUCAAGAGAAUCAGUAGAUCUUUCUGUCAGAGCUGUAGAGACAAGUGGUGAGACUUCUAUGUUUCGGAAGGUCUUAUGUCCUGCAGUCCUUUUAUCUUAUAUUCAGUUUUAGGGUUUACUGGGGGCCUUGUCCUAGUUUAUAUACGGUUACUUGACUCAGUCAUUUGUUGGAUAUUUUCACAGACAGUUGUUUAGAGGUUAAUUGAUGUUGAGGGAACCUUAUCUCCCUGUUAUUGUUUCUUUUCAUAUUUAUGACCAUGUUUUUGAAUUAUUGUGUUUUUCCGCAUUACUUUGAUCAUAUGAAUUAGGUGCAUGAUUACCAGACAGAUAGGGGUAUUUUGGGCCUCCAUAGUUUGAAAUGCUCGUCACGGCCAGGCUCGGUUCAGGUCGUGACAAGCUUGGUAUCAAAGCAUAGUUCAUGGUCCUAGGGUGUCUGCGAAAUCACGUUAGAUAUACUCUUAUUUAUGGGUGUGGAGCGUGUCACACUCAUAAGCAGGAGGCUGCUAGGCAUUUAGGAAAUGUUUCCCUUCUUUUUGAUUUAGUUCGUGCUUCAGAGUCUAAACUGUACCCUAAUCAAUGAUCACUUGUGUUUCAGAAAACACAGUUAUGCCUCUACGUCGUAUCAUCGAUCAGAAUGCUCAGGAAGAUGAGGUCCGUCCUACCCAUGGGAUGUGGAACCAUAACAGGGCUCACACUCCAAAAUUUGUCCCUACUCCGGGAGUCCCUCCAAUCCCGACCAGUCCACCUCGGGCUCCGCAGACUAAUGUUAAUCGUCCCCCAACUGCUCAAGGAGAUAUUUCAAAUGCAGAAUUCAGAUGGUCUAUUCAUAGGCUGACACAAUUGGUAGCUAACUAGGCUUAAAGAUCAGAAGAUGUUGGGUCUGCAUCUGUUACAUUUGAGGCUACUAGAGUCGGUCAUUUCAUAAAGAUAAACCCACCUAAGUUCACUGGCACUAAGGUAGAGAAAGAUCCACGGGAGUUCGUGGAUGAGAUGGAAAGGAUCUUUAAGGUGAUGUAUGUGGAUGAGGUUGAGGGGGUGGAGCUAGCAACCUAUCAGCUCAAGGAUGUUGCGAAUCAGUGGUAUGCCGACUGGGAAGAUGAAAAAAGGUGAAAGUGCUGAGCCCACAGUUUGGGUCAAAUUUGUGAAAGAUUUUCUUGAUCGAUUCUUUCCUCUGGAGUUGAGGGAGGCCAAAGUGGAAGAGUUUAUGAAUCUAAAGUAGGGCAGGAUGAGUGUCCAGGAGUGCACUUUGAAGUUUAAUAAACUAGCCCGCUAUGCACCAGAGUUGACUAGUAAUAUCAGAGCCUAGAUGAGGAAGUUUGUAUCUGGCCUUGCUGAUAACCUGGUACUUGAGUGCCAGGGUGCUAUGUUGAAUAAGGAGUUAGACUUUGCUCGGCUGACCGUUCAUAUACAGUAGGUGGAUGAGAAGAAGAAAACGAUUGCUGAAUCUAGAGAGAAAGACAGAUAGGCUAAGAGAGCUAGAUCUGCGGACCAGCACCAGAGUCAGCCGCAGAGUGGUAACUGGAGUAAUAAGUGGUCAAAGAAGAAAAAGUUUUGGAAUAAUACACAAUCAGCAGCCAGUGCCCUGACACCCAGACCACCGACAGAAAGACAAACUCAGAUUUUUCAGAUUCCUCAUGGGUCCAAAGCUCUAGGUACACAGUCUUAGGGCAGUGUGGCCCAGCAGCAUCAUACUUAUCCAUGGUGUGAGGUUUGCGAAAGGAAUUAUCGAGGGAAGUGUUGGUUUGAGGGGAGAAACUGCUAUACUUAUGGCAAAGUGGGUCACCUUUAGAGAGAUUGUCCUUCUAUUGGAGGAAGGGGGGGAGGGGGGGCUAAGUCCCAAGCCGCCUUCACAGCUCCUUUUUCUAAGGGUGCCCCUUCAGCUGCCGAAAGCGUUCGCAACUGGUUAUAUUCUUUGACUAACCGCCAGGAGGCGGAAGUUUCACCAGAUGUUGUCAUCGGUAUGUUACGAAUCUUUUCUUAUGAUGUUUAUGUAUUUCUCGAUCCAGGGUCUACUUUGUCUUAUGUGACCCCUUAUGUGGCUGUUGGUUUUGGGUUUGAGCCUGAAGUUAUUCUAGAACCCUUCUCUGUUUCUACUCUUGUACGUGAUUCUGUUGUUGCUAGAAGGGUGUAUAGAAAUUGUUUCGUGUCUAUUCAUAGUAGGGAAACUAUGACAGACCUUAUAGAACUGGAUAUGAUAGAUUUUGAUGCCAUCCUUGGGAUGGGCUGGCUCCAUUUGUGUUAUGCCACCCUUGAUUGCAGAACCCGAAAGGUUAUUUUUUCUUUCCUGAAUGAGACACCAAUUGUAUGGGCAGGGAGUUCGAUAGAACCUAGAGGUCACUUUAUCUCUUAUCUUAAAGCCCGGAAGCUUGUCUCUGAAGGUUGUAUGUAUCAUCUAAUCCGAGUAAAAGAUUCAAAAGUUGGAAACCUUCCUCUGUAGUCAGUCCCUAUAGUGAACGAAUUUCCAGAAGUCUUUUCCAAAGAUCUCCCAGGGAUACCCCUGAUAGGGAGAUAGAUUUUGGCAUUGAUGUAUUGCCAGACACUCGUCCUAUUUCUAUUCCGCCAUAUAGAAUGGCUCCCACGGAACUAAAAGAGUUAAAGGAACAACUUGUAGACCUCCUAGACAAAGGUUUUAUUCAUCCUAGUGUUUCCCUAUAUGGUGCACCCGUGCUCUUCGUGCGAAAGAAGGAUGAGUCCCUUCGGAUGUGCAUAGACUACCGUCAGUUAAAUAAGGUCAUGAUUAAAAAUAAAUAUCCUCUUCCUAGGAUUGAUGACCUUUUUUACCAGCUUCAGGGUACCAAGUGUUUUUCAAAAAUAGACCUUCGUUCGGGUUAUCAUCAGUUGAAAUUUAGGGAGUUAGACAUACCCAAGACAACCUUCCGAACCCGAUAUGGUCACUACGAAUUUCUAGUCAUGUCCUUCGGGUUGACUAACACCUCUGCAGCCUUCAUGGAUCUUAUGAAUAGAGUGUUCCGUCAGUUUCUUGACUUGUUCAUUGUAUUUAUUGAUGAUAUUCUAAUCUAUUCUAAGAGUAAAGAGGAUCACGCCAAUCACCUCUGAAUUAUUCUUCAGACCCUUAAGGAUCAUUAGCUGUAUGCCAAAUUUUCUAAGUAUGAAUUCUGGUUAGACGCUAUUUGCUUCCUGGGGCAUAUUAUGUCCAGUGACGGGAUAAGAGUGGAUCCCCAAAAAGUUGAAGCAGUGAGAAAAUGGCCCAGACCCAUGACUCCAAUCGAUAUUCGGAGCUUUUUGGGUUUGGUGGGGUAUUAUAGAAGUUUCGUAGAGAGUUUUGCUUCCAUAGCUGCUCCGCUUACUAAACUGACUCAGAAAAAGAUAAAGUUUGUGUGGUCUGACUUGUGUGAAAAUAGUUUUGAGAAAUUUAAGGACAAGCUGACUACUGCUCCUGUUUUGACCCUUCCCAAGGGUGUAGAUGAUUUUGUGGUUUAUUGUGAUGCGUUCUGUAUGGGACUUGGUUGUGUAUUGAUGCAGCGUGGUAAGGUGAUAGCUAAUGCAUCUAGGCAGUUAAAGGUGCAUGAGCGCAAUUACCCCAGUCAUGACUUGGAGUUAGUAGCCAUGGUGUUUGCACUUAGAAACUAGAGGCACUAUCUCUAUGGAGUACAUGUUGAUAUUUAUGCUGACCAUAAGAGUUUUCAGUAUAUUUUCUCACAGAAAGAAUUGAACCUCAGGUAGAGGCGUUGGAUGGAGCUUUUGAAAGACUAUGAUAUGAGUCUACAUUACUAUCCGGGCAAGGCAAAUAUUGUAGCCGACGCCCUUAGCAGGUUGUCUAUGGGCAACCUUUCUCAUGUAGAAGAAGGAAAGAAAGAAAUGGUGAAGGAUAUUCAUCGCCUUGCAAAUCUGGGAGUGCGACUCUUAGAUUCUGAAGAUGGAGGGGUGAUUGUUCAUGAGUUAGCUAAGUCAUCUCUUUAUGCUAAAGUUAUGAAAAAGCAGGUUGAAGAUCCCAUCUUGGUGCAAAUAAAGAAAGAUGUGGGUCAAUAGAAGGAAAGAAAGAAAUGGUGAAGGAUAUUCAUCGCCUUGCAAAUCUGGGAGUGCGACUCUUAGAUUCUGAAGAUGGAGGGGUGAUUGUUCAUGAGUUAGCUAAGUCAUCUCUUUAUGCUAAAGUUAUGAAAAAGCAGGUUGAAGAUCCCAUCUUGGUGCAAAUAAAGAAAGAUGUGGGUCAAUAAAAGGUUAUGUCGUUUGAAAUUGGUGGUGAUGGUAUUCUGAGAUUUUAGGGUAGGUUGUGCAUUCUGAAUGUCGAUGGGCUAUGGGAAAAAAUCCUUAAUGAGGCGCACACUUUGAGGUAUGUCAUUCACCCAGGCUCUACUAAGAUGUACCAGGAUCUAAAAACCUUAUAUUGGUGGAAUAACAUGGAACGUGAUGUAGCUGAUUUUGUGUCCAAGUGUUUGAACUAUUAACAAGUGAAGGUGGAACACAUGAGGCCAGGUGGUACUUCCCAAAAGAUAGCCCUACCUUUAUAGAAGUGGGAGAUGAUAAACAUGGACUUCAUUACAGGACUUCUGAGAUCCCGAAACCAGUAUGAUUCUAUAUGGGUGAUUGUAGAUCGAUUGACCAAGUCAUCCCACUUUUUGCUUGGGAGGACUAAUUAUUCGGGAGAGGUUUAUGCUAAGAUUUACCUUGAGGAGAUAGUUUGAUUGCAUGGGGCACCAGUUUCCACUAUAUCUGAUAGACGUACGCAGUUUUCAUCUCAGUUUUGGAGAACCUUUCAGAAGUGUUUAGGUACACAAGUGAAUUUGAGCAUAGCUUUCCACCCUCAGACGGAUGGGAAAGAUGAGCGUACCAUUCAGAACCUCGAAGAUAUGUUGAGGGCAUGCGUCAUUGAUUUCAAAGGUAGUUGGGUAGAUCAUCUUCCACUGGUUGAAUUCGCUUACAAUAAUAGCUACCAUGCCAGCAUCAAGAUAGCUUUUUUUGAGGCUUUGUAUGGAAGGAGAUGUAGGUCUCCGAUAGGAUGAUAUGAAGUGGGUGAGACUCAGUUGUAUGGGCCUGAUCUUGUUCAUCAGGCGAUGGAGAAAGUGAAGAUAAUUAGAGAACGACUAAAGACUUCUCAGAGUCGUCAGAAGUCCUAUGCCAAUGUUCGGAGAAGAGAACUAGAGUUUGAAAUUGGUGAUUGGGUGUUUCUCAAGGUUUCUCCUAUGAAAGGAGUUAUGCGGUUUGGAAAAAGGGGUAAAUUAAGCCCUCUUUAUGUAGCACCAUAUCAGAUUUUGAAAAAGAUUGGUAUAGUUGCAUAUGAGUUAGAAUUGCCUGCAAGUUUGGGUUCCGUUCAUCUGGUAUUCCAUGUAUCCAUAUUGAAUAAAUUCAUUGGAGAUCAUUCUAUGGUAUUGCCAGUAGAGGGUAUCAAAGUGACAGACUCCUUGUAUUACGAAGAAGAGCCCGUUGACAUUUUAGAUUGCCAAGUUCGAAAGCUGAGGAGCAAGGAAAUAUCCUCAGUAAAGGUACUGUGGAGGAAUCAGAAAGUCGAAGAAGCAACUUGGGAGUCAGAAAAUGACAUGAGAAUUAGAUAUCCUAAUUUGUUUGCUUCGAUGGAAGAGGAGACAGAAGGUACUAUUCCUAUCUUAUCUUUCCUAGUCCUUUAUUAUGCUUGAAAUCGUGUCUUUCUAUGUCCCGCAUCAUCAUUCGGGGAUGAAUAAUCCUAAGGGGAGAUAAUGUAAUGCCCCGUAAUUCGGGCUAUCAUAUAGACCAUAAUUUUGAUGCAUUGUUAAUCCCGAAGCCAUAAAAUCCUAUGCUGAUACGGCAUGUUAAUUAUUGUGUGGCAUGUGAAUCCACUCAAGCUUUAGUUUAGACCAUAGAGGUCCUUCAACUCAAGGACAAGUUGAAACUAUUACGAUCGACUAAGUUUUAGUGGAUGUUGUAAAGUGUGUCAGCUUCCAUCGACCAUAACUCUCUAUAUAUGUCGAAUUAGAGAGCCUACUAUGUUUCAAAUGAUAGGUAUUCAAGUUAGCUUUCCAACAAUACCAAUUUGGCUUAAAAGCCGACACCCGAGCAAGAAGUUAUGGCCCUUUAAAGUGAUAAGCGUCGCCUAACCAAUCGCCCAUGGCCACUGGAAAGCAUAGGCAAUAGCCUAUGCGGCGCCUAUGUAAACAUAGGCGAUAGCCUAGGCGGCACCUAUGUGAACAUAGGCAAUGGGAUGGGCUGCGCCUAUGUAAACAAUUCUAGUGACUUAAACACUCCGUGUUGAGGAAUAAGUGGUCCUUUUCCACCCUUACUUAGCCCUAAAAUACGAAAUCUAGUUCCAAGGACCCCAAAAUACAUAUUCUUUCAUCAAAAGUGCUUAAGGAUUCUCCUUAGGGUUUCAAAAUAAAAACCCAAAUAGUUCAAGAUUUGACCGUAGAUUUUCAAAGAUAAUUACAUAUUUGGAAUCACCAAUCUGCAAGCUUCAAGAAACAUCUAUUAUCCUGGGAAAUAGAGGUACGUGGGGUUAUCCAAAAAUCUCAUGGGUGUAGUUUUUAUGAACAUGCAUGCUUUAAAAUGGGGGUUUUCAAUCAAAUGCUAAUAUCUUGCUUUUAAUAUGUUUUCUAAGUCAUUUUCUUUAUUUUGUGGGAAUAGUUUACCUAUAUACUUCAAUGGUUGAAACCAUGCAUAUGUGAUUUGAGAUUUUCCAUGGAAGUUUGAUAAAUAUGAAUGAUAAAUUGUUUUCAAAUUCCCAUGAUAAUGUUUCGAUACUCCAUAUUGCAUUGUGAUCAACAAAAGAGAGCAUGAAUUUGAAAUAAAUAUUAUUCACCACUUGUAAAUGAUGAAGCACCUUGGUUUUUACAAGAUUAUGCAUAUGUGGAUGUGAUAUUGAUGACUUGCAAGUUGGGUUUGAAUAUACCCUUCAGAAUACGAUAUGUGAUUGAAUAAGAUGAAAUUUGAAUGCAUUGAUUUUACAUGAGAAAGGUGGAUGCCCGAAGAAGGCGCUUGAGACACAAGGGCUCAUCAUUGGAAAACGUGUUUACCGACAUGGAAUAUUGGUACCAGGCUAAGUGAUCUUGUGUACUUGACUUCAUGUCAUUCCCAAAUUGGGACUAUAGGUAGGAGCCCGGGCUAAGUGUUCUUGGGCACUACCAUUGGGUCGAGACACCAUGCUUUGUGAUCUUGUGUGUCUCUCCCUCACUUAUACUCCAAUCUCGGUGGCAAUCGAGGUUUGACAGUUAGUGUAAAUUAUGUAGGGUAUUCCACCUAUCUUAGCUGCAUUUCAUUAUUGUUGAGAAAAACUAUUGUAUUACACCCAUGUGCUUUCAAAUGAUUUGAUACGAAAUUGCUUUAUAAUGGCUCUUAACUAUGUAUUGUAAAAAUAUUAUGUUUUGUCUUGAUAUCUCUGCGUGCCAGUACUUUUGUGCUGACCCCCUCCCUUCUCCAACCUCUCAGGUUCAGAGGCCCAGUCUAGGGGUCAAGAGAAUCAGUAGAUCUUUCUGUCAGAGCUGUAGAGACAAGUGGUGAGCUUUCUAUGUUUCGGAAGGUCUUAUGUCCUGCUGUCCUUUUAUCUUAUAUUCAGUUUUAGGGUCUACUGGGGGCCUUGUCCUAGUUUAUAUACGGUUACUUGACUCAGUAAUUUGUUAGAGAUUUUCGCAGAUAUUUAUUUAGAGGUUAAUUGAUGUUGAGGGAACCUUUUCUCCCCGUAAUUGUUUCUUUUCAUAUUUAUGACCAUGUUUCCAAAUUAUAGUGUUUUUCCGCAUUACUUUGAUCAUAUGAAUUAGGUGCAUGAUUACCAGACAAAUAGGGGUGUUUCGGGCCUCCAUGGUUCGAAAUGUUCGUCACAGCCAGGCCCCGGUUUGGGUUGUGACAAUCGGAGUAAUAAAAGAUCAAAAAAACCUAUAUGAAAUAAUACAAAUCCUAGGAAAACUAGAAAUAAUUGGAAAGAAACUCUUGAAGCACUAGGACUCUAAUCAAAUUACCUAUAAAUUAGAAAUAAUCAAUCUAGAAUAUACUAUAAAGACAACAUCUAUAAAAGCUACAAAUGAAGAUCUUAAAGAUUUUAAAGUACAAAUAAAGGAACUGUUAGAAUUAGGGAUAAUUAGGAGAUCCAAGUCAAGACAUAGAUGAACAACUCUCAUAGUAAGAAACCAUAGUGAAAUGGUACGAGGGAAAGCUAGAAUGGUAAUAAAUUACAAAAGACUAAAUGAUAAUACUACUAUGGAUUGAUAUAAGUUACCAGACAAAACAGAAUUAAUAAAUAGAAUACAAGGAAGAAAAGUAUUUAGUAAGUUCAAUUAUAAAUCUGGAUAUUGGAAAAUUAAGAUGCACGAGGAUAGUAUAGAAUGGACAGCUUUCACAUGUCCAGAAGGGCAUUUUGAAUGGCUAGUUAUGUCGUUCGGACUAAAAACAGCUCCUCCAAUUAUCCAAAGAAAAAUAAAUUGUAUUUUUUUGUAAUUAUAAGAAUUUUGUAUUAGUAUAUGUAGAUGACAUUUUAGUUUUCAGUAAUAACAUGAGAGAACAUCUAGGACAUUUACAACAAGUCUUUAAAUUGUUUGUAGACAAUGGAAUAAUAAUAAGUAGAAAGAAAAUGGAACUAUACAAAAAUAAUAUUAAUUUUCUAGGAGUAGUCAUUGGGGAUGGUAGACUAAAACGACAACCACACAUAGCUAAGAAUGUCUUACAAAUGCUAGAUAGAUUAGAUAAGACCAAGGAUUUGCAAAAAAUUUUAGGACUACUAAAUUAUGCUGAAACUUUCAUUAACGAUUUAGGAAAGGUAGCAGAGAUGCUAUAUUCUAAAAUUGGAUCAACAUGCUAGAAGAUUUUAAUGCUGAAGAUAUAAAAUUAGUCCAACAGCUUAAACACGUGAUCCAAGAUAUCCCAGAAUUGACACUGCCAUUAAAAAUAGACUAUUUAACAGUCGAAACUGAUUGAAGUCUUCGAGGAUGGAGAGCAAUAUUAAAAGCAAAACCUAAUAAAUACAGUGAGAAGAAAGAUGAGAAAAUUUUUGCUUACUCAAGCAUAAAAUAUAAGAAAAAAGGAAAUCUGAGUAGGAUAGACAUGGAAACCCUAGCAGUAAUCUACAAUUUAAAUAGUUUUAAGCUUUAUAUACAAAAUAAACCUGAAAUAUUAGUUAGAACUGACUGCGAAACUAUAGUAAAAUUCUUUCAAAAAAUAAAAGAAAAGAAUAGUAGUAAAAUGAGGUGGAUAACAUUAUGCUGGAAAUUAUUAAAGGAAAAGGUAAUAACCUAGAAAAUCAAGUUAGUAGACUAAUAAAAUACAACUAAUGAGUUUUGUUUCAGUAUGUAUACAGGCUAGGGAAAAGGUAAGGCUGAGGCCUUGUCCUCCCAAGACUAUCUGAGGAAUUUAAUGAGCAAUACUUAUUAAAGACCACUUACAAUGUUGGAACAUCUGAAAUUAGAAAGGAUAAUUUUCGGGCCGCACAACUUGAUCAGUUAUGAGCGCUCCAACCUGACUUUCAAGAUUAGACCAGACGUGCGAGUGGACAAAAAACAAAUAUUACUGAUCAACAAUUUAUGGAUAUCUUACAAUAAGACACCCAAAACCAAUAGAUAUUUCAUUUCAGUCCUAAAUACUUUAAGUUAUUAUUUUACUGAGAAGAAUAACACUAAUAGAUUUUAAUUUUAUGUUGUUCUUAGGGGACAAACACAAGGAGUAUUUCAGACAUGGAUAGAGGUGAUCGACUCUAUAAAAUACUAUACAAUUCUUCUAUAUAAGAAUUUCAAUGACCUCACAGAGGCAUUAGACUAUGCUCGAGGAAAUCUAGGGCCAACUAUUAUAUUAAUCAGCUUUAAGACCAACUAUGAAAGAAGUUUCAGAAUAUAAUAUAAAAAAGAUACAAGAUAAAAUCAUAUUAUGUGAUCAUUGUUCUUCGAUGAACGAAACUUUUAGAAGACUAAAUCAUGCAAAUGAGGCUUUAAGACAAGACAAUGAGAACCUUAUAAAUGAAAAAGUACAAAUGAUAGAACAUAUAGGACUUUUACAAGAUCGUAUUAAAGUUCUUCAUUAUGAAUUAUCCCAGCAGACUCAAUAGACCUAUGAAACUCAAAUAGUUCCAAAGAGUUCUCCAUCUUCUUUAAAAAUAGAUAAGAAGGGUGUGCAUUCCUCAAUGAAUGUAGAAAGACCUACUGUAUCGGGUAAUGAUACAGCUAGUCCAGUUCAAACUGGUAAGGACUCACCAAAUCCGUUAAUAUCUGACACUUUGCCAAAAAGUGUAGGGAGAAUUCUCCCAACUAGUUUCAAAAUAAUAGGUUCCCAGACACUAGACAAAAGAAUGUCUUUGUCUACCCAAGACAAAAAUAAGAAAGGUUUCUACCUGCGAAGAAGGAAAAUUGAUAAAACAAAUAUAAAACAAAUAGUAGUAGUCUCUACCAAAUAAUUACUAGCAGAACAACCUAAAGAAACAGUAAUGGAAAAUCCAAAGCCUGAGCCAAGAUCCAUAAUUUUCUUAAUACCAGAAAAGGAAAUAAGACUUAGAAAUGGAACAAGUCUAGGACUUUUGAGUGGAGAUAAUGAAUAAAAUAAUCCAACAAUGGAAUAUGACUAUAACUUAGCUAUGGAUCAAUUCUCUCAAGACCCAAAUGUAGACGAUGACUCUGGAAUGAGUUUCUUUCCAGAAGCAUUGCACAAUUUGGAAACGUAAGCAGUGACGAUACUCAUGAGAAGAAAAAAUUCAAGGUGUAGGCAAUAAUGUAAAGGAUGAAUAAUUGAUGUUAAGUGGAAAACAAAUGGACAAAUAUGAACUAAAAAUAAAACAUGACCAUGUAACGACGGGGCUCACAAAGUGUACCCAACAUGCAAAAGUUUCUUAAACACAUCUGAAGUCCGAAAUUAAGGCCUGCCUGACGCCUAUAAAUACCCACUUCUUUAAACUUAAGAAAAUAGAGUGAAAGAGAAGUUAGAAUGCAAGAACUUAAGAGUAUAUACAAGAGUGGGUAUUUUUUAUUUUCUAAAUCUGUUUCCAAGUUUUUUUAAAAAAAAGUAAGUUGUGUAUGGUUUUUAAGUUCUUUGAACCGUAGCUGCAAAGUUUUUUGAGGCUCCUAAAAGCGAAACCUCUCUUCACCUUAAGACUUGUAAAUAGUUGUUAUUUAAGAUCAUUGUAUCUUUUCUCCCUAUUAUGUAAAUUAUGUUUGUAAUAUAAAAUUUCAUGAACUCUUUUGAAUUCUAGUAAAUUGCUUGAUAUACCCCCCCCCAGUAUAUGGUUAGUAUCUCAGUGUUUCAACAAUAACGGUGGAUUAAUCUAUAAAUUCUUAGGAAUUUGAAAAGUACAAAGAAGAUUUGAAAGGACUGAAAAAGAUUUGAAAGGACUGUUGUGCUGUCCCCGAGGUAUGAUUAAAAAAGAUAUUGCUAAAAUAUACCUAAAACUGAAGAGAAAAAGAUGAACAGGAUAUUAAAAAAAGAGUAUUUUGGGAGAAAAACAUACUUUGAUAUAAAUAAUUUCACUAUUACACAUGACUAAGGAUAACGAAAGAGGGAGUAGUACUGAGUAGGAUUUUACACCAUAUUUGAAUAAUAUAUCUGCUUCAACCCUUCUGCUUGUUCAUAUCUACUUACUAUAUUAUAUUUAUUUAUAUGUCAUCUGUUUUUUGACUUGCUUAUGAUCCAAGACAUCCCAGAAUUGAUGCUUUCAUUAGAAACAGACUAUUUAAUAGUCGAAAUAGAUGGAAGUCUUCGAGGACGGGGAGCAAUAUUAAAAGCAAAACCUAAUAAAUACAGUGAGAACAAAGAUGAGAAAUCUGUGCUUAUUCAAGUAGAAAAUAUAAAUAAAAUACACUCUAAGUAGUAUAAACACAGAAACACUAACAGUAAUCUACAGUUUAAAUAGUUUUAAGCUUUAUAUACUAAAUAAACCUUAAAUAUUAGUAAGAACUGACUGCGAAGCUAAAUUAAAAUUCAAUCAGAAAAUAAAAGAAAAGAAUAGUAGUAAAAUGAGGUGGUUAAAUUUUUUAGACGCCACUUCAAUUUAUAACAUUGUGCUAGAACAUAUUAAAGGAAAAAAUAAUAACCUAGUAGAUCAACUUAGUGGACUAAUAAAAGACAACUAACUAGUUUUGUUUCAGUAUGUAUACAGGCAAGGGAAAAGGUAAGGCCUCGUCCUCGUCCUCGUCCCCCCCAAGAAUAUCUGAGGAAGUUAAUGAGCAAUACUCAUUACAGACCACUUAAAAUAUUGGAACAUCCUAAAUUAGAAAGGAUGAUUUUUGGGCCGUACAACCUGAUCAGUUACGAGCCAUCCAACCUGACUCUAUCCAUGUCUAAAAUACUCCUUGUGUCUGUCCCCUAAGAACAACAUGAAAUUUAAAUAUGUUAAUGUUAUUCUUCUCAGUAAAAUAAUAACUUCAAGCAUUUAGGACAUACCCAGUCUUCAUGAAAAAGAAAUAAUAUUAGAUUCAGAAAACUAUUGGUAUCUUAUAAACCUAAUGAAAGAAUAUACAAAUUUAUAUAACGUUUUAGUAGAACAAAGACAUUUAUAUAUUAGUUUACUCGAUAUCUCGCUAGGACUAAGUGGAGAGAUUUAUCAAGAAUUAAUAAAAAUAGAUAAUAGAUUAUAAGAAGUACAAGUCAAAAUAUUUUACUACAAUGACCAAAUAAAAAUAAAAGAAAUUUGAGAAAAAAGAAUACUAUUUACUAGCUUAAUGAGAAGACCUCGUAGAAAUACUAGAUACUACAAAGAGAUUAAGGAAAAAUUAAAGGACCUAUAUUUAGAACAUAAGAGACUUAAUAAUACAAAAGAAGAUCCUAUAAGACUAGAUCAGCUAAUCACCAUAAUAUCCUGACUUUUUUUAAUACCCUGUUCAUCUCUUUCAGUUUAGUUUAAAGUAUUUUAUCAAUAUCUUGUUUAAUCAUACCUCGGGGACAACACAACAGUCCUUUUAAAUCUUAUUUGGGCUUUUCAAAUCCCUAGGAAUUUACAGAUUAAUCCAUCGUUAUUGCUAAAACACUAAGAGACUAACCGUAUAUUGGGGAUAUAUGUAACACCUUGAGAGUAUACCCUUGGCGCCACACGGUGCUUACAGUCCUGAGGGAGCACAAGCUAACCCAUGAGCUGGUACCUGUUGUAAGCACUGAGUAAAACAGAUAACAAAAGGUCAUAUAUGGAAUUUAUCUGAGGAAAGCCAUAAGGUUUUAAGUAAUAAAUCUGAUAAACAAAACUAAUAAUACUGAUAAAACAUCUGACAAUGACAACUGAAAUCUGAGAACUGACUAAAUGGGAGUUGAUGGGACAGGACCCAACUAACUCCAUCUGACUACUGAACUGAAAGCAUGAAAAUAAAUAUAGUCUAUCCUCAAAAUAUGAGGACUCACCAUUGCUACUGCUGAUAAUUUGUGAGAUCUAAGUGCGAUCCAGGAAUUGGGCAUCUGAACCUAUGAUAUGAUAUAUCAUAGCACAAGGAAAAAGUAGGUGAUCAGUACUUUGAAUGUACUAGUAUGCUAAAUGAGGUAGGCUGAUAUGCAUGGUUUUAUGUGCAUAAAUAAUAACUGACUGAAUAAACAAAUAGCAUGAAAUACUGAAUAGAACAUAUGAAUUUGUAAAUACCGAAGAUGCAUGAAAUCUAUAAAUUCUAAAGAUGCGUGAAAUCUAUAAAUACUGAGAAUGUGUGACCAAGCAUAAACAUAUUCUGAAUAUAAUUUAUAAAUUGUAAUAUUGAAAUCUGAUAACUGAAUAACUGACAUCUGUAUGCUAUGGUAUACAACUGAACCUGAAUUACUGAGCUAAUUACUGGACUGAAACUGUGGGAGCUAUAAUCUAACCAACAUAUCCCAAUGAGCAAGUUAGGGUCCAACCUGUGACCCUAAUUGGAAGGGUUUCAAUACCAUGCCACGGGUACUAACACUGGCUAUAUGGAUCCACUGAUGUACUAUCCCAAAGGACUAAGAGUGUCAAGCCUAAACUGACGGGUGACCUCUGUGAGGUAGCCAAGCCUAAAAUGAUGGGUGACUCCUCACUAAAUUCUACUCCCAGUUGGACUGACUCGAAAUACUGAAUGUUCUAAGUUUAAUUGAUUAUGAUGACUAACUGAUCUAAUAAUGCUCAUAACAUAUUCUGAAACUAUUCUGAGAUACUGAGACUAAGUAAACAACUAAGUUUUUGGGUAUUCAUAACCCCUAGGACUCAAUAGCAAUAAUAGUAAAAUAGUACUAAACUUGGAGGACAUAACAUGAAAGCAUUUAUCAAAAAUUCAUUCUUGUAGGCAUUUCAUCAAACACUUGAUAUUCAUAGUUCAAGCUAAGCAUGGGAAUAGUAUAAAGACUAGAGAAAUAGCAUAAUUUUAACACCAACAUCACUAAUCAUGAUUUUAAAUCACUGAAUAACAAUAUUAAAAUAUGUGGGGUUUAAUAACAACAUCAAUUUCAUGUAAACAUGAUAUAGAAUUAAGAUUCAUGGUUAAAAUCACAAUUUAAAAUCACAAUAACUUCUAAUAAUCACAUCGUUGAAUUUAAAAUUGGAUAAUUGGGCUCCUUGGGUGAAAGGAACCCAUGGAUGAACACUUAGCAUACCUGGGUUAUUGAAUUUAUGAGAGUUGAUGGUGAAUUCUUAAGAUUUGAUCUUGAAUUUUAAAGUCUAGGGUUUUUGUUCUUGAAAGGAGAUUAAUUUAAUUUGAGAGAAUUUUGAAAUAAUGAGCAAAUAAUGCUCUAUUGGGAGUUAAAUCCCCUGUUUUGACUGAAUGAGAUAAAGGGAAAAGACUUAAAUGCCCUUAGACAAAUUAAAACUCAAAACUGAAACUGGAAAUCCUGAUUUUGACACCCGACGUGAUGCGGUGCAAUCGCGUCGGGCCACUGGAAAACUGACAACUGCGAAUUGGAAGCUUGGCGCGAUGCGACACCAUUACGGUACCCCACUGAAUACGAAUUUGGCCCUUGACAUGACGCGGCGCCAUCACGGUAUAAAUUACGAUGACAUACUGGAAAAGGACUAACAUGAAUUUGGCCAUCACAGCGAUGCGGCCUUAUUGCGUUGGGCUACUGUUUUGCACUAAAAUUGCCAUAACUUCUCACCCGAGUAUCUGAUUUGGGCAAAAUUGGUAUCGUUGGAAAGCUAAUUAAAUUUCCCACAAUUUAGUGGGUCUUGAGUUGGAAAAUUCUGAGCAGAGAAAAAUAUAUGCUCAUUUGAAGUUGACUAAAGCAAUAUUCUUAUCAAAAUUUCAAUCGAUAAGGAUUUUUUUGAUUUGUCGAACGGCUGGAAAUUAUUUCGGGCCUUAAUAUACCUAAAACUAACUCAUAAAACUAUCAAAGAAUGAUAAUGUACUAUGAAUGAGCUUGAAACAUGACCCUAACAUUGGUUGGGAUUUUUGGAGUAUUGUAAUAUCUCCCCCUUGGGAACAUUCGUCCUCGAGUGAGACUAGCUAAAUUUAAAACACUGAGAAACUAAGAUUACAUAUUGAAUAUGCAUGAUUAAAUGACUGAGUCUAAAACAUGAUUCAUGAUUGAACUGGUUCUAUGAAUGCAUGACUGACAUGAGAAUGAUUUGCAGCUGAAACUGAGCAUGGAAAAGAGAAAUUCUAAGAAGAUUGUUACCUUAAGUUAAGAAUACUGAAGAAUCUAAGACCAUUUACUAAACAUGCAUGAAUAGGAACAUACGAUCAUAAUUGAGUCUGAAACAUGAUACAUAAAUUGGAUAUCAUAAAUUGAAUUGAUUUCUUGAACACAUGUAAUGACACGAGAAUGAUUAUAAGGAUGAGAUAGGGAUGAGAGAGUAAACAUUACCUCUGAAUGGAUCUGGUUUUGUGAAGAAAAGAUAAGAGAUUUACUAUAUGAAAAGAUCAAGGUUAUUACAUCUCCCCCUUGGGAUAGUUUAUCUCAUGAAUGAUACUGACUUGGAUGAAAUACUAGGAAAACUUAAGAUGAUGCAUGAACGCUAAUGAACUAAACCAUGACCAAUUAUUUGGAUUUUGAAACUGACGCCUGAUGUAUGUACUGAGAUGAAUUCGUAGUUUACAUGGAUGUGAAUAGAUUACUCUUUGAAAUGGCCACAUUCAACUGAAACAUUUCUUCAUUGCUCUUUCUAAGAGGUUCUAAUAACAUUAGAGAGCAGGGAAUCUUAGGCAUGAUCUGAACAAGACAUCUAUAUAAGGAACCCCAACAUAGCUAUAAUCCUGGUACAUGGAACAUAGGCCUAUGAAAUAUAAGAUAAGGUAGAAUUACUAUGCCUUAACUGAUACAACUGCCAUUUUUGAACUUAGACAUUCUCCCCGAAUGUUUCCUCAACUAUACACUUUUCUUCCAUACUGCACUAUACUUGAGGCUACUGAAGACUCACAUGAGCACUGAUAAUUCUACCUACUAAAGUCUGAGUUGGACUGUAUUCUACCACUAUGUACAAGCCCACUCAAACUAAAAAAAUGCACACAUAACACUGUAAUACUAUUUUGGAUCAUGAAUUCAACACCCCUGCAUUUUCACAACUUCUCAUCUCAUGAAUAAUUCUGAUUUCCCCUUUAACAACUAAAUAAAACCUCUUAUUUGCGAUUCACUAACGCAUAAUGCCUUUACCCACUUACACACCAAUAUGACAUUCAAGCCUAUUUUCAAAACUACAGCCUCGAGUAAAACAAGCAUGCAAUAAUCUUUCCUUAACAUAAGAUAUUUACUCUCUCCCAUCUAAGCAAUUGCUCAUCACUACCAUCAUUUCACAAGGAGAGAUCACUAAAAGGUUAAAACAUGAGGACCUGAAGCAUGAAUGAACAUUAUACAAAACUUGACACUUAAAAGAGGCUCGAGGAAUAGAAUAUCACCAUCAUGGAUUUAUCAAGAGAUAUAAAAUGAGGAUGUAUAUCAUUAGGUGUAUAGCAUGAGUCAUGGGAACUGAGCAUUCUGUAAAACAUGAAUACAUGAGUCAUGAGCGGCAUGGCCUGGAUUUGGAGUUUAUAAAUUCAUGGAAUAUGAUUCAGACUGCUGGGUGAACUAGAACUCCUCUUACUAGGAACUAGAAGUGUAUAUAAUUUUCUAUAAAGUGUAAGAAUAUGAGCUAUGAUCAUAGGGAUGAUAUGUAAGGCAUGAGUAGAUAUCAUGAUGACUGAGGAACCUUGCACUGAGAUAAGAACAGGUUGGGCAUUAUCCUCUCCUACUUCUUUUCAGCACAUACUGGCAUCACUGCUAGGAUUUGAGAGCCUGGCUUGAUUACUUGUUCUAUCAUCUCCCCAUUAGCUUAAAUCCAUCAUUAUAUGUUCGUGAACUACUUAAUUAACAACUUUAAACUGAACUAUCACCACUUUACUCUAGAGUCUAUGAUACAAUAAUACACAUAUUUGGUAAAUUCAUCCUGAAUGACUAUGCCCGAUAAUUAAAACUUCUUGCUAGUGCUUUCUUCUGAGAUACAACUCUUAACCCUCUAUAGCCCCAACAAUCAUCAUGUAACAACUUAAAAUUGACUAACUUAGAAUUUUCAACUCCUCUUUCUAUUAGCUCAACCUUCAAAGGUAUAAACUUAGAUUGUAACAAAUAACAUGGAUAUCCCCAAAUCUUUAAUAACCAUACUACCUUUAUCAUAACCUACAAAUAUCGUAUCUCUAAACUUUUAUUUCUCUCUAAACCAUGAGAAUUACUAUUACACUUGAACAUCUGACGUUAAUAUCUUAUAAUCCAUAACAGAGCUGGUAGGAACAUUAAUUACUACUCCAAUAGCCCCAUUCAACCUUAAAACUUAAGGAUACUACAUGACCACACCCUUACCAUCAUACUUAGCUUAAAUUUCUACAUACGCUAUUUUCAAGCCUACUGAUUCACCUUUCAUAAAAACUAUCCCCACGGAUGCAUAGUCCAUCAAAUUCAAAUAACAUUAUCCUCACUUUACUGCUGCUAAACUUUUGGAUCCAUGCUUCUAACUCUAGGCCAUCUACUAUUAUAGAAUUUUGGGAAGGGCUCCAAAAACACAUCUGGCCCCUAAGCACUGAGGUACUACCCCUCUAUUCAAUGACCGGUUCAUUUGGAAACUAAAAAUGAACUACUCUAUUUCUACAAUCAACUAAAACAUAGCAUGAGUAGAUCCAAUCCAUGCCCAAAAUGACGUCAAAAUCCGUUAUCUCUAACUCUACCAGAUCCACUAAAGUAACUUUCUAGGACACUGUAAUGGGGUAGCUCCUAUAUAUCUGCCUGACUAUGAUAGACUUGCCCAUUAGAGUAGACAUUGAGAAAGGCUCUACUAAGAUUUCAGGACUGACUCCGAAGUUGAUGGCUAUAUAGGGGUUACAAACGAAAGUGAAGCCUCGGGAUCAACCCAAGCAUAAACAUAAAGAUGAAAGAAUUUUAACAUGUCCAUAACUAUAUUAGGAGAAAUUUACUGAUCAUGUUGGGACUGGAGUGCAUAUAGUCUAUUCUAAUGCUGACCAUAGGUUGCACCAAAAGUGGCGCCCCCUGAGUCGAGCAAUUGGUUGGAACUAAAGGAUGACUGUGCUAACUCCACGGACCAGCCUUACAAAAUUCUCUGACUUUAUGGCCUGACUCACCACAUCUAAAACACACAUCACUGUCAGCUCUACACAUACCCUUAUGAUUCUUACCAUAUUCUCCACAAAGUGGAUUAGUACGAAUACCCUUCCCACUACCUUGUGACUUAGAGCCUAGAGCUCUAUCUUGACUAUUAUUUUUAAACUUAAGCACUGGCUAAAAGUGGAGUUGGGGCUCAGAAUUUAUGAUGGGAUUGGGAGAGGUUACUACCCCUUGACCUAGGCUUAAAACUACCUUGUUCUACCCCUCUUAUUUUCUCUCUCUUUCUUCCUAUGCUUUUAUUCUCACUCAACUGAGAAUGAGUUAAAAGCCUAGAUAGGACAACAACCUGCAAAUUGUUUUGAGCAACUACUGAAUAAGAUAAGGUAGUGAAAGCAACUCUAAAUUCAGUGUGAGAGACAGGCUCAUUUAGGGGAUCUUCCUGAAUAGACGGAGGUACGGGCUGAUUCACAUUUCUUCUUCCGUUAUUCUUUCUAGGAGGCAUUUUCUAUACAUGAAAAGAUGUAUGAGUUAGAAAAGGAGUUUAAAUAAAGCUCAUGCUCUAUCGCAUGACAUGAACACUGAAAUAAGGGAAACGUUUCUUAAAAUGCCUCGUAGCCUCUUGUCCAUAAGAGUGGAACGCUUCACACCCAUGAACAAGACUCUACUUGACACAGAUUUCAGACUUCCUAGGAAUAUUUAAAAUGUUAAGCUUUUAUACUAAGUUUGUAAUGCCCCAAAACCACACCCUGGGUGACAUACGGUGCUUAUAUUCCCGAGGGACCAUAAGCUAACCCAUGAGCUAGCACCUGCUGUAAGCAUUGAGUAAAACUAAUAAUAAAAGGUCAUAUGCGAAAUUUAUUUGAGGAAUUCCAUAAGUUUUUAUGUAAUAAAUAUGUUAAAACCUGAUAAUAUUGAUAAAAUAUCUCACAGUGAAAACAAAAAAUUUGAGAACUGACUAAUUAUCUGAAAUAUCUGAAAGCCUCUAAAUUGACUGAAUGGGAGUUGAUGGGACAGGCCCCAACUAAUUUCAUCUAUCAACUGAACUAAAGGCAUGAAAAUUAAUAUAGUUUGUCCUUAAAACAUGAGGACUCACCACUGCUACUACUAAUAAUCUGGGAGUCCUAAGUGUGAUGCAAGAACUGGGCAUUCGAACCUAUGAUAUGAUACAUCAUAACGCAAAAAAAGAGUAUGCAAUCAGUACUUUAAAUGUACUGGUAUGCUAAAUGAGGUAGGCUGAUAUGCAUGAUUUUAUGUGCAUGAAUAAUAACUGACUGAAUAAAUAAAUAACAUGAAAUACUGAAUAGAAUGCAUGAAAUCUAUAAAUACUAAACAUGCGUGAAAUCUAUAAAUACUGAAGAUGUAUGAAGUUUGUAAAUACCGAGAAUACGUGAAUAAGCAUAAACAUGUUUUGAAUAUAAUCUGUAAACUGUAAUACUAAAAUUUGAUAAUUGAAUAACUGAUAUCUUAUGCUAUGGUCAUGCAACUGAAAUUGAAUUACUAAGCUGAUAACUGGACUAAAACGUUGGGAGCUAUCAUCUAACUGACAUGCCUUAAUGAUCAAGUUGGGGUCCAACCUAUGACCCCAAUUUGGAGGGUGUCAAUACCAUGCCAUGAGUACUAAUACUGGCUUUGUGGAUCCACUGUUGUACUAUCCCAAAGUACUAAGGGUGUCAAGCCUGACCCCUACGAGGUAAUCAAGCCUAAACUGAUGGGUGACUCCUUGUAUCCUAUGCUAGAUACGUAGUUUUAGAGUAUAGGGAGUGCUAUUAACGACUCUACCUAACUGAUGAGGAAGUCAUCAUCCCUGCACUCGCUUAGUGCUAAAUCCUACUCCCAACUGGAUAGACUCAGAAUACUGAAUAUUCUAAGUUUAACUAAUUAUGAUGAAUGACUGAUCUGAUAAUGCUCAUAACAUAUUCUGAAACUAUUCUAAGAUACUGAGACUGAGUAAACAACUAAGUUUUAGGGUAUUCAUAACCCCUAGGACUCAAUAGCAAUAAUAGUAAAAUAGUACUAAACUUUGAGGACAUAACAUGAUACCAUUUAUAAAAAAUUCAUUCUUAUAGGAAUUUCAUCAAACACUUAAUAUUCAUAGUUCAAGCUAAGCAUAGAAUAAGUAUAAAUCUUAGAAAAUAGCAUAAUUUCAAUACCAAUAUCACCAAUCAUGAGUUUAAAUUAGUGAAUAACAUUAUUAAAAUAUGUAAGGUUUAAUAACAACAUCAUUUUCAUGUAAACAUAGUAUAUAAUCAAAUUUCAUGGGGAUUUGUAAUGUGCUGAGUCUACACCCUGGAUGUCACACGGUGCUUACAACCCUGAAGGAUAAUAAGCUAACCCAGGACUAGUACCAACUAUGAGCACUGAAUAAUAAUACUAAAAAUCAAGCGAAAGUAUCUCUAAAAAUUCCAUAAGGUUCUUACAAUACUGAAAUAAUAACUGAAUAUACUGAUAAUUACAUCUGAAAAACUGAAUAUCUGUCUGGGCUAGUCUGAAAGCCCUUAACUAUCUGAAUAGGGAGUUGAUGGGACAAGUCCCCAACUAACUCUGAAUGCUGAACUAACUAGAAUACUGAGAUAAAUAAGCUCUAUCCUCAAAGUAUAAGGACUCACCAUUGUAUCUGUUGCUGUUAGUUUGAACUGCUAAGUACAGUCAGGACCUUAAGCAUCCGAACCAAUGAUAUGAGACAUCAUAGCACAAAGAAAGAGAAUGUGUUAGUAUGUUGAAUAUGAUGGUAUACAAAGUGAGGUAGGCUGAUAUACAUGGGUUCAGAUGUAUGAGAUGAUAACUGACUGAAUGGACAUCAUGAAAUAACUGAAUAAGAAUGCAUGCAAAACUGUAACUACUGAUCAGGCUGAUUAUGCAUUACUGAGCAUAUAACCUCUGUCUGAAUUAGACUAAAACUAGAGUACUGAGUUCUGGUAACUGAAUACUGAUAACUAAGGUUUAGACUGAUACUGAAGUACUGAAUUAUGAUAGCCAUGGUUCUGUAGAACUAUCUGAGUUCUUUACUAAAUUCUGAGACUGAAUACUAAUUACUAAGUACUAAAUACUAAAGUUGUAACUGUAGGAGUGCUCAUCUAACCGACAUACCCCGAUUAUAAACUAAGUUGGGGUCCAACCUGAGACCCCAGUUGGAAGGGUGUUAGCACUUUGCCAAGGGAUACUAACAAUACUGUGUCAAUCCUAAUCUGACAAGAAGACUCAUGAGUUGUAUAUAUAUUUAUGUCAACCCUAAUCUUGCAGGAGGACGGCUUACCCUACGCUGGCUACAUUAUUUUAUAAAAUGUAGGGACUGCUACUAAGGGUCAAACCCUCUACUGGCAGGAAUGACCCCAUCCCUGGGUUCGCUCAGUGUUGAAUUCUACUUCCAACUGUAUAGACACUGAACUGAUCACUAAACUAUACUAGUCUUGACUGAACCGUUACUGAUCUUGUUAAGUAACUGAACUGGACUGAGUUCACUGAGUUAUGUAACAGACUAAGUACUAUUGUUCAUGAUGUUAAUGAGACUAUUCUAUAACUACUGCAUUUUUAGGUAAACAGCUAGAUUGUCGGGUAUUAAAUACCCCCAAGACUCGAUAGCAUCAAUAGUAAAACAUGGCAAAAUCUUAAAGGGAUUACAUUAGUUACUUGUCCACCAUGCACUCAUUCAAACAUUUCGUCAAACAUUUGAGAGGCAUGAACUUGUACAUGAAUGGGACCACAUGAUAGCGUGCAAUAAAUUCACUACUCAAUUUACAUAUGCAUUAUAUCAGACACUUGGGGAGCAUAAGUAAUGCACAUAGAAAUCAUCAAUACAUAAACAUUAUGGCUAUAACAUUCAACUUGCAAAUUCAAGGGUUUAACAUGAGGAUCACAUGAUUCUACAUACUUGCUAAUUAAUUCACUUGAAACUUGUAUAAAUCUUAAUUUGACAACCAUACAACAAUACAUACAUGUACACAAUCCAAUUCAAACAUGUAAAUCAUGAAAUCAAUAAACUUAUAGUUUUUUUUUUCAAAAAAAAGGUCCUUGAACUCCAAGAGUGGAAGGAAACCCAAGGAUGACCACCUAACAUACCUUGGUUUCUGAAUUUGUGAGAAUUGAUGGUGAACUGUUAAGAUUUAGACUUGAAUUUAAUGAACCUAAGUCUUGUUGUUGAGAGAGUUUGGUGAAAUAAUGAGUGAGUUUUCCCUUUAGGAGGCUUGAUUUCAUAUUAAGACUGAAUAAUGUAAGGAGAAAAUGACCCAUUUUCCCCCAUAAACUCGGAUAAAAGAAUGCUGGACAAGGUCCUCAUAGUGUUGCGACCCCUACAAGCACCCUUGUUAUGCGAACCCUAGUCGGGUCAAACAACACUUGUGGUAAGACCCUGAGCCUGAGUCAACUAGCCCUCACGGUGUGGCCCUAUCGCAACCCCUUGUAGUUUUGGAAAUCCAAACUCACCUUUAUGCUAGUCCAAAAAAUUUGAAACUCACCUAAGAUGACCUAUAUGUGACCCUGAUCAUGAAUCAACUUGAAAAUCGAUAUACUAAGGUUAGAAAGGUCGAAAAUAAGAUCCUUCAAUUUUGAAGGCUAAAAUAAUUCAAAGUCUUGAAACUUAGCUGAAAUUCUUAAGUUUGAGACCUCUUUAAGCAUGCUAUAUGGUAUUGACAUGACUAGGAUUUUGUGGGGUCUUACAAUAUCUCCCCUUUAAGAACAUUCAUCCUUGAAUUAGACUGGCUAAACUGAAAGUGACUGAGGAACUGUACGUACUUACACUGACAUGAGUAACGGAAGCAUGACUAAAUUCUGGAAGCAUGACACAUUACUGAACUGUUUCAUGAAUGAUAUGAGUUUUCUAUGCAGCUAUAACUGAACAUGGAAUAGAGUAAAUCUAAGAAAGACUAUUACCUUAGGCUAAGUCUGAGUUUGCAUAGAAGAGGUGAGGAUACUUGGUUUGCAUAUCUGCUUCUGCUUCCUAAGUAGCUCCCUUAGCCAACUAAUUCUGCUAAAAAACUUCAACCAAAGGAACUGCUUUGUUCUUUAGUCUACGAAUAUGACGAUUAAUAAUUUCAAAUGGGAUUUCCUCACAAGAUAGACUGCUUUGAAUAUCUACACUCCAUAUAGGAACUACAACGGCUGGGUCACUAAUGCACUUCUUUAGCAAGAAGGCAUGAAACACUCGGUGUAUAGAUGCUAAGUCUGCAGGCAACUCAAGCUCAUAAGCUACCUUACCCAAACAAAUGAGAAUCCUAUAAGGACCGAUAUAUCAGGUACUAAGCUUCCCCUUCUUGCCAAAUCUCUUCACUCUCUUCAUGGGAGAGAUCUUCAAAUACAUAAAGUCGCCAAUCCCAAACUCAAGAUCUUUUCUUCUCACAUCUGUGUAUGAUUUUUGUUAGCUUUGAGCUGUCUUAAGCCUUUCUCUGAUCAACUGCACCUUCUCCAAGGCAUCAAACACCAAGUCAGUCCCUAAUACUAUUGCCUCACCUACUUCAAACCAACCAAUGGGAAAUUUAUAUCUCCUUCCCUAAAAUGACUCGAACGAAGCCAUCUGAAUACUGGAAUGAUAGUUGUUAUUAUACGCAAACUCAAUCAAGGGUAAGUGGUCAUCCCAACUUCCCUUAAAGUCAACAACACACACUCUCAACAUAUCUUCUAAAGUCUGAAUGGUCCUUUCUGCUUGACCAUCUGUCUGAGGUGAACUUGGGUACCAAAACCCUUUUGGAUGGCCUUUUAAAAAUGAAAGGUAAACUACAUACCUCUAUCUAAAAUAAUGGAUAAUGGGACACUGUGUAAUUUAAACAACUCUCUAACAUAGAGUCUGGCAUAGUCCUCAACUAAGUAAAAGGUAUGAACUGGCAAGAAAUGAGUUGAUUUGAUCAUCCUAUCCACAAUGACCCAAAUCAAAUCAUGCUGACGACGAGUAUGAGGCAAACCCAUUACAAAAUCCAUGUUCACUUUCUCCCUCUUCCAAGUGAGGAUACUGAAUUCCUGCAUAAACCUACUGGGCAUUUGGUGCUCAAUCUUCACUUGCUGACAUGCAGAGCACUUAGCCACAAACUCUGCAAUGUCUAUCUUUAUCCCACUCUACAAAUAGACUUCCCGCAAGUUGCGGUACAUCUUAGUGGCCCCUGGAUAAAUCAAGUAACACACACUAUGCACUUCUACAAGAAUCCACUACCUCACGCCAUCUACACAUGGCAUACAUAAUCUACCCUGAUAACGCAACAUACUAUAUCUCCCUUGGGAGAAAACCUCUACUUUCUGAUCUUUGAGUAACUCUUUUAGCUUAACUAAACUGGGAUAUUUGUCCUACUUUUAUUUUACCUCAGAAACUAAAGAUAAUUCCAAACAAUUCUGCAUCCAAAUACUACCCUCAGAUGAAUAAACCAAAUGGACACCCAGUCUGGCAAGAUGAUGAACUUCCUAAACUAAAUGUUUUUACCAUCAUCAAUGUGAGCAACACUACCCACUACCCUCAGAUGAAUAAACCAAAUGGACACCCAGUCUGGCAAGAUGAUGAACUUCCUAAACUAAAUUUUUUUACCAUCGUCAAUGUGAGCAACAUUACCCAUAGAUAGUCUACUGAGAGCAUCUUCUACUACAUUGGCUUUGCCAGAUGAUACAGAACACUCAUGUCAUAAUCUUUCAAUAACUCUAACCACCUCCUCUGACAUUGGUUCAAGUGUUUUUAAGAAAAUACAUAUUGUAGGUUUUUGUAGUCUGUUGAACAUAUCAAUAUGCACCCGAUACAAAUAGUGCCUCCAAAUCUUUAAGUCAUACACAACGACUACUAACUCAAGAUCAUGGGUGGGAUAAUUCUUUUCAUAGGGCUUAAGCUCUCUAGAGGCAUAGGCUAUGACCUUACCUCUCUACAUCAAAACACACUCCAAACCAACUCUGGAAGCAUUACAAUACACAGCAAACCCGUCUGAACCAUCGGGCAAAGUCAGAACUUGGGUUGUAGUGAGUCGAGUCUUCAACUCCUGAAAACUCUUCUCACAAGAAUCUGACCAUUGGAAUUUGACUUUCUUCUGAGUCAUCCUGUACAUGGUUGAUGUAAUAGAUGAAAAUCCUUCAACAAACCAUCGGUAAUAACUAGCCAAAUCGAAGAAACUCCUGAUAUCUGGCAGAGAGAUGGGCCUAGGCCAGUUUCUUACUAUUUUGAUCAUUUGAGGAUUAACUCUAAUGCCAUCACCGGAAACUAUAUGACUAAGAAAAGCUACAGAUCUUAGCCAAAAUUUGCACUUAUUGAAUUUGGCGAACAACUGAUGGGCUCUGAGGGUCUGUAAUACUAUUCUGGGUAUUCUGCAUGAUCAUUUUCACUGCGGGAGUAGACAAAAAUGUCAUCAAUGAAGACUAUGACUAACAUGUCCAAGUACUUCUUGAACACGAGGUUCAUCAAGUCCAUGAAAUCUAUUGGGGCAUCGGCAAUACCAAAUGACUUGACUAGAAAUUUGAAUUAACCAUACCGAGUUCUAAAAGCUAUUAUCAGAAUGUCACAUUCUCCGACUCUGAGUUGAUGAUAGCCUGAUCUGAGGUUUAUCUUAGAAAAGUAACUAGCACCCUAAAGUUGGUCAAACAAAUAUUAUCGAUUCUAGGAAGUGGAUACUUAUUCUUGGCUGUGACUUUUUGCAACUGACGAUAGUCAAUACAUAUUCUGAGAAAACGAUCUUUCUUAUACACAAAUAGAAAUAGUACAUCCCACGGGGAAAUAUUAGGCUGGAUAAACCCCUUAUCUAGGAGAUCCUUCAAUUGUUCUUUUAAUUCUUUGAGUUCUACUAGAGCUAUUUUGUAUGGCGGAAUAGAGAUAAGCUAAGUAUCUGGAAGAACGUCUAUUUCUUAGUUAAUUUUUCUUUUGGGAGGAACUCUGGGAAGAUCUUUGAGAAACACAUCUAGAACUUCACAUGCUAUUGAAACUCACUCAAGAGUAGGGGUCUCUGAACUAGAGUCUUUAGCUUAAAUGAGAUGACAGACACACCUCUUGGAUAUCAUUUUUCUCGCCCGAAGGUAAGAAACAAGCUGACCCUAAGUGCUAAAGUAUUACCCCUCCUCUCAAGGACGGGUUUAUUCAAAAGCUGAAAUUGGACAAUUCUAUUUCUGCAGUUGACUGAGGCAUAGCAUAAAUGAAGCCAAUCCAUUUCGAGAAUGACAUCAAAAUUAGUCAUCUCUAAUUCGACUAAGUUUGCUAAAGUGACUUUCUGAGAUACCAUAACCGGAAAGUUCCUGUAUACCCGCCGGGCUAUGAUAGAUUUAUCCACUAGGGUAGAGACUGAGAAAGGAUCUACUCGGAUUUCGGGACUGACUCCAAACUCAACAGCUAUAUAAGGAGUUACAAAGGACAAAGAAGAUCCUAGAUCUAGCAAAGCAUAAACAUGUAAAGGAUAAACUUGUAAUGUACCGAUGACCAUAUCAGGAGAACUUUCCUGAUCCUAUCGGGAUUAAAGUGCAUAGAGCCUAUUUGGACAUUGCCCAAUGGUGGCACUGGAAGCACCCCCCUACUGAGACGGGCGACGUGAUUGAGUUGUGGGAUGAUUAUGCUGACUCUGCAAAACCACCUGAGGACACUCUCUGAUCCUAUAACCUGGAUUACUAUAUGCAAAACUUACAUCACUUCCAGCUCUACUUAUACCCUGAUGGUUUCUGUCACACUUUUGACAAAGAGGAUUUGUUCAGUCACUGCUAAGACUACCCUGAGAUCUAGAGCCUAAUGCCCUAUCCUUAUUACCAUUUCUAAAUUUAGGUACUGGAGAACUGGUUGAGAAUGGAGCCAAAACUAAGAAUGGUUACCACCCUCUGGCUUAGGCUGAGUAAAGUUGAAGCUACCUGUUCUAUCCCUCUUGCUCUCCAUCUCUUUCUCCUUAGUCUUCUACUCCUCUCUCUGUUGAGCAUAGACCAUCAACCUAGACAAGUCCAUCUUCUUGAUCAGUAGUACUGUCCAACACUCCUUGACCAUACUGUCAGACAUACUAGAUAUGAACUUACUCAUCUUAGACCUUCUAUCACUACCAGGUGAGGAGCAUAUCUGGCUAACUGAGUAAACUUAAGAGAGUACUCCUUUACUAUCAUACUACCCAGAUUUAAGUUGAUGAAGUCUAUAACCUUAGCUUCCCUCAUCUCUAAUGGGAAGAACCUAUCUAAAAGGGUAGUAGAAAACUCCUCUUAUUCUAUGGGCCCUACAUCUAUGCUCCUAUCUACCUUCCACUGCUUGAACCAUGUAUGAGCCACAUCCUAUAACUGAUAUACAGUAAACUCAACACUCUUACUAGUGGUUACCCACAUAAUAUAUGUUACCUUGUUCACACUGCCAAGGAACUUCUGUGGGUCAUCUUCAUACUUAAACCCUAAAAAUAAUAGAGGAUUCAUUCAAGUAAAGUCUCGAAUUCUAGAUGCAGUAGUAUUGGCCACUCGGUUGGCCUGAACAAUAGCUGGGCAUUCAUUUUGGGCUACUACAGAAUGAGCUAGAGUGGUUAAAGCUGCUCUAAAUUCUGUGUGGGAAAGAUGCUCAUCUAAGGGAUCCACCUGAAUGGGCGGAGGUGCUGGCUGAUUCCCAGUUUUUCUUCUGUUAGUCUUUUUCAGAAGCAUAUUCUAUAAACAGAAGGGAAACUUGGAUUAGAUAGAGAGUUUAACUUGAUCUCAUGCUCACUCACACGACAUGAAUACUGAAAGAAGGGAACCUUUCCUAAAAAUGCAUCAUAGCCUCUUGUCCAUAAGUGUGCACAUGACUAUACUUGACGUGGCUUUCUAACUCCCUAGGACUCUAUUGAACCUUAGGCUCUGAUACCAAGUUUGUAACGCCCCGAGUCUACACCCUGGACGUCACCCGGUGCUUACAACCAAGAAGAAUCACAAGCUAACCUAUGCCUGGUACCUUCUGUGAGCACUGAAUAAAAAUACUGAAAAUCAUAUGAAGAAGUAUAACUAAAAAUGCCAUAAGGUUCUUGCAAUACUAAAAUAAUAACUAAAUAUACUGAUAAUGACAUCUAAAAGCUGAAUAUCUGUCUAUGCUAGUAUGAAAUCCACUAACUGUCCAAAUAGGGAGUUGAUGGGACAAGUCCCCAACUAACUACGACUACUGAACUAACUAGAAUACUAAGAUAAAUUAACUCUAUCCUCUAAGUAUGAGGACUCACCACUGUAUCACUGCUGAUAGUCUGAACUGCUAAGUAUGGCCAGGACCCUAAGCAUCCGAACCUAUGAUAUGAGACAUCAUAGCGCAAAGAAAAAGUAUGCAUCAGUACGUGGAAUGUACUGGUAUACAAAGUGAGGUAGGCUGAUAUACAUGGGUUCAGAUGCAUAAGAUGAUAACUGAUAAAAUGAACAUCAUGAAAUAACUAAAUAAGAGUGCAUGCAAAACUGUAACUAUUAAUUAUACUGAUUAUGCAAUACUGAGCAUAUAACCUCUAUCUAAAUUAAACUAAAACUAGAGUACUGAGUUUUGGUAACUGAAUAAUGAUAACUAAGGUUUAGACUGAUACUAAAGUACUAAAUUGUAAUGGCUAAGUAACUGAUAACUGAUAGCCAUGGUUUGGUAGAACUAUCUAAGUUCGUUACUAAAUUCUGAGAUUGAAUAUUGAUUACUAAGUACUGAGUACUGAAACUAUAACUGUGGGAGUAUUCAUCUAACUGACAUACCCCGUUUAUAAACUAAAUUGGGUUCCAACCUGUGACUCCAGUUGGAAGGGUGUUAGCACCUUGCCAUGGGAUACUAACAAUGAUAUGUCAAUCCUAAUCUGGCAGAAAGACUGUUGAGUUAUAUAUAUAGUUGCGUCAACCCUAAUCUGGUAGGAGAAUGGCUUACCCUACACUGGCUACAUAGUUCUGUAAUGUAAGAACUGCUACUAAGGGUUAAACCCUCAACUAGAAGGAACGCCUCCAUCCCUGGGUUCGCUCGAUGCUGAGUUCUGCUCCCAACUGAAUGGACAGUGAACUGAUCACUAGACUGUACUAGGCUUGACUGAACCAUUACUGAUCUUGUUAACUAACUGAACUGGACUGAGUUCAUUGAGUUAUAUAACUAACUAUGUAUUACUGUUCGUGACAUUACUGAGACUAUUCUUUAGCUACUACAAUUCUAAGUAAAUAGCUAUAUUGUCGGGUAUUGAAUACCUCUAGAACUCGACAGCACCAAUAGUAAAACAUGGAAAAAUCUUAAAGAAAUUACAUUAUUUACUUGUCCACCAUGAACUCAUUUAGAUAUUUUGUCAAAUAUUUGAGAGGCAUGAACUUGUACAUGAGUGGGACCACAUGAUAAUGUGUCAUGAAUUCACUACUCAAUUUACAUAGGCAUUCUAUCAAACAUUUGGGGAGCAUAAGUAAUGCACAUAGAAAUCAUCAAGAUAAAAACAUCGUGGCUACUAUAUUCAACUUGCAAAUUCGAAGGUUUAACAUGAGGAUCACAUGUUUCUACAUACUUGCUAAUUAAUUCACUUAAAACUUGUAUGAAUCUUGAUUUGAAAAGCAUACAAUAAUACAUACAUGUACACAAUCAAAUUCAAACAUGUAAAUCAUGAAAUCAAUUAAACUUGUAGUUUCUUUUUUUAAAAAGAGGUUCUUGAACUCCAAGGGUGGAAGAAAACCCAAGGAUGAACACCUAACAUACCUUGGUUUCUGAAUUCCUAAAAAUUGAUGGUGAACUAUUGAGGCUUAGACUUGAAUUUGAUUAACCUAGGGCUUUCUUUUUAGAGAAUUUUGUUAAAUAAUGAGUGAGUUUGACCUUUAAGAGGCUUGAUUUCGUGUUAAGGCUGAAUAAUGUAAGGGGAAAAUGAUCCACCUGCACCCCACAAACUCGGAUAAAAGAAUGCUGGAAAAGGUCCCCAUUAUGUUGCGACCCCUACUUAGGUUAACUGACCCUCGCGAUGUGACCUCUUCUUGGGUCAAACAACCCUCACAGUGUGACCUAGAGCCUGAGUUAACUAGCCCACAUGGCGCGGCCCUAUCGCGACCCCUUGCUAUUUUGGACAUCCGAACUCACCCUUACGCUAGUCUAAAAAAUCCAAAACUUGCCUGAGAUAACCUACAUGUGACCCUAAUCAUGAAUCAACUUGAAAAUUAACAUACUAAAGUUAGAAAGGUCAAAAACAAGAUCCUCCAAUUUCAAAGGCUAAAUUAAUUCUAAGUCUUGACACUUGGUUGAAAUUUUCUAAGUUUGGGACCUCUUUUGGCAUGCUAUAUGGGACUGACAUGACUAGGAUUUUGCGGGGUCUUACAGGAUUCAUGGUUAAAAUCACAAUUUAAAAUCACAAUAACUUGUAAUAAUCACAUCUUUGAAUUUCAAAUUGGAUACUUGGGCUCCAUGGGUGAAAGGAACCCAUGGAUGAACACUUAACAUACCUGGGUUAGUGAAUUCGUGAGAGUUAAUGGUGAAUUCUUGAGAUUUGGUCUUGAAUUUUUAAGGCUAGGGUUUUUGUUCGUGAAAGGAGAUUAAUUUAUUUUAAGAGAAUUGUGAAAUAAUAAGCAAAUAAUGCUCUAUUUGGACUUAAAUUCCGGGUUUUGACUGAAUGAGGUGAAGGGAAAGGACUUAAAUGCCCUUAGAAAAAUUAAAACUCAAAACUAAAAUUGGAAAUCCCAAUUUUGACACUCGACAUGACUCGAUGUAAUCGCGUCGGGCCACUGAAAAGCUAACAACUGUAAAUUGAAAGCUUGGCGCGAUACGGCGCCAUCGCAGUACCCCACUGAAUAUGAAUUUAGCCCUUAGCGCGAUGCGGCGCCAUCACGGUGCCUUACUGGAAAAUGAAAAUUGCAAAAUAACCCCUUGGUGUGAUGUGGUGGAAAUCGCGGUGACACACUGAAAAAGAACGAAUGUGAAUUUGGCCAUCACCGCAAUGCGGUCUUAUCGCAUUGGGCUAUAAUUUUGCACUAAAAGUGCAAUCACUUCUCACUCGAGUAUAGUAUUUGGGCGAAAUUGGUAUAUUUUGAAACAUAAUUCAAUUUCUCAAAACAUGGUGGGUCUUGUGCUAAAAAAUUCUCAGUAGAGCAAAAGAUAUGCUCGUUUGAAGUUGACUAAAGCAACAUUUUAAUCAAAAUUUCUAUUGAUAAGGAUUUUUUUGAAUCGUCUAAUAGCUGGGAGUUAUUUGGGGCCUUAAUAUACCUCAAACUAACUCAUAAAACUAUCAAUGAAUGAUAAUGAACUAUGCAUGAGCUUGAAGCAUGACCCUAACAUUGGUUUGGAUUUUUGGGAUAUUAUAGUAUAUCAAGCAAUUUAUAGGAAUUCAAAGAGUUCAUGAAAUUUUUAAUUACAAACAUAAUUUACACAAUAGAGAGAAAAGAUACAAUGAUCUUAAAUAACAACUACUUACAUGUCUUAAGGUGAAGAGAGGUUUCUCUUUUGGGAGCCCCUAAAAACUUUGUAGCUAUGGUUGAAUAAACUUAAAAGCUAUACACAAGUUACUCUUUUUUUUAAAACUUGGUAAUAGAUUUAGAAAAUAAGAAAUUCUCACUCUUAUAUCUACUGUUAAGUUCUUGCGUUCUAACUUCUCUUUCACUCUAUCUUCUUAAGUCUGAAGAAGUGGGUAUUUAUAGGUGUCUGGCGGACCUUAAUUUCGGACUUUAAAUGCAUUUUAAAAACUUUUUCAUACCGGGUACACUUUAUGGGCCGUAUCGUCACAUGGUCAUGAUUCCUUUGUUAUUCAUAUCCGUCCAUUUGUUUUUCACUUAGAAUCAAUUAUUCAUCCUUUACAUGAUUGCCUAUGUCUUGAAUUUUUUCUUCUCACAAGUAUCGUCACUGCUUACGUUUCUAUUGUGUAAUGUUUCUAGAGAGAAACUCAUUCUAGAGUCAUCAUCGGCAUUUGGGUCUUGAGUGAAUAGAUCCAUAGCUGAGUUGUUGUCAUCUUCCAUUGUUGGAUCAUUUUCUUCACUGUCUCCACUCAAAAGUCCUAGACUUAUUCCAGGUCUAGGUCUUGUUUCUUCUCCUAGUAGUAAGAAAAUCGUAGAUCUUGGCUCAGGAUUUGGAUUUUCUAUUACUAUUUCUUUAGAUUGCUCUUCUAGAAAUUAUUUGAUAGAGUCUGCUACUAUUUGUUCUAUAUUUAUUUUACCAUUUUUCCUUCUUCAUAGGUAGAAACCUUUCUUAUUUUUAUCUUGGGUAGACGAAUAUGUUCUUUCAUCUAGUGUCUGGGUACCUGUUGUUUUGAAACUGGAUGGGAGAAUUCUUCCUAUACUUUUUGGCAAAGUGUCAGCCAUUAACGAAUUUGGUGAGUUUUUGCCAGUUACCGUUUGAACUGUACUAGAUGUAUUAUUACUCGAUAUAGUAGGUCUUUCUACAUUCAUUAGGAAAUGCACACCCUUCUUAUCCAUUUUUAAAGGAGAUGGAGAACUAUUUGAAACCAUUUGAUUUUCAUAGGUCUACCAAGUCUCCUGGGAUAAUUCAUAAUGAAGAACUUUAAUACGAUCUAGUAAAAUUCCUAUAUGUUCUAUCAUUUAUUCUUUUUCAUUUAUAAGAUUCUCAUUAUCUUGUCUUAGAGUAUCAUUUGCGUGAUUUAGUCUUCUAAAAGGUCCAGUCAUCAAAGAAUAAUAAUUGCAAAAUAUAAUUUUAUUUGUAUCUUUUUUGAUAUUAUAUUGGGGAACUUCUUUCAUAUUUGGUCUUAAGGCUGGAGUAAUAUAAUAGUCUAAUGCCUUUAUGAGGUCAUCGAAACCUUAUAUAGAGGUGUUGUAUAGUCUUUUAUAGAGUCCAUCACCUCUAUUCAUGUCUGAAAUACUUCUUGUGUCUGUCCCCUAAGAUCAUAAAAUUUAAAUCUAUUAGUGUUAUUCUUCGUAGUAAAAUAAUAACAUAAAACAUCUAGGACUGAAAUAACAUAGCUAUUGUUUUUGAGUGUCUUAUUGUAGGAUAUCCAUAAAUUAUUGAUCAGGAAUAUCUGUUGUUUGUCCACUCGCACGUUUGGUCUAAGUUUGAAAGUCAAGUUAGAUGACUUAUUACUGAUUAGGUUAUGCGGCCCGAAAAUCAUCUUUUCUAAUUUCGGAUGUUCCAACAAUGUAAGUGGUCUGUAAUGAGUAUUGCUCAUUAUCUUCCUCAGAUAGACUUGGGAGGACGAGCUCAACCUUACCUUUUCCCUUGCCUACAUACUGAAACAAAACUCGUUAGUUGUCUUUUAUUAGUCUACUAAGUUGAUCUGCUAGGUUAUUAUCUUUUUCUUUAAUAUGUUCUAGAACAAUGUUAAAAGUUGAAAUGGCGUCCAAAAAUUUUAACAACCUCCUUUUCUACUAUUCUUUUCUUUUAUUUUCUGAUAGAAUUUACAAUAGCUAUACAGUCAGUUCUUACUAAUAUUUCAGGUUUAUUUAGUAUAUAAAGGUUAACUAUUUAAAUCUUAGAUUACUGCUAGUGUUUCUGCAUCUAUACUACUCUGAUUUUCUUUUUCUUUAUAUUUUCUACUUGAAUAAGCACAGAUUUUCUCAUCUUUCUUCUCACUAUAUUUAUUAGGUUUUGCUUUUAAUAUUUCUCUCUAUCCUCGAAACUUCCAUCUCUUUUGUCUAUUAAAUAGUCUUUUUCUAAUAGCAGUGUCAAGUUCGAGAUGUCUUGGAUUAUGCGUUUAAGAUGUUGGACUAAUUUUAUGUCUUCAACAUUAAAAGUUUUCUGGCCUGUUGAUCCGGUAUUAGAAUAUAGCGGCCCUGCUACUUUUUCAAAAUCUUUAAUGAAAUUUCUAGCAUAAUUUAGUAUUCCAAAAAACUUUUGCAAAUCCUUGGUCUUAUCUAAUCUAUCUAGAAUUUCUAAGACAUUCUUAGCUAUGUGUGGUUUUAGUUUUAAUCUACCAUCCCCGAUGACUACUCCUAGAAAAUUAAAAUUGUUUUUGCAUAGUUUCAUUUUCUUUCUACUUAUUAUUAUUCUAUUGUCUACAAAUAAUUUAAAUACUUUUCUUAAAUGUCCUAGAUGUUCUCUCAUGUUAUUACUAAAAAUUAAAAUGUCAUCUACAUAUAUUAAUACAAAAUUCUUAUCAUUUCAAAAAAUACCAUCCAUUUUUUUGGGGAAAAUUAGCGGAGUUGUCUUUAGUACGAACGACAUAACUAGCCAUUCAGAAUGCCCUGGACAUGUGAAACUCGUCCAUUCUAUACUAUCAUCAUGCAUCUUAAUUUUCCAAUAUCCGGGUUUACAGUCGAACUUAUUAAAUACUUUUAUUCCUUGUAUUCUAUUUAUUAAUUGUGUUUUGUUUGGUAACUUAUAUCCAAUAUAGUAGUAUUACCAUUUAGUCUUUUGUAAUUUAUUACAAUUCUAGCUUUACCUCAUACCAUUUCACUAUGGUUUCUUAUUAUGAAACCUGCUGAUCUAUAUCUGGACUUGGAUCUCCUAAUUAUCCCUAAUUCUAAUAGUUCAUUUAUUUGUACUUUGAAAUCUUUAAGAUCUUCAUUUGUAGCUUCUAUAGAUGAUGUCUUUAUAGUAUAUUCUAGAUUGAUUAUUUCUAAUUUACAGGUAAUUUGAUUGGAGUCCCAGUGCUGCAAGUUUUUUCUCUAAUUAUUUCUAGUUUGUCUAGGAUUUGUAUUAUUUUAUCUAGAUUUUUUUUAUCUUUUAUUACUCAUAUUUGUUGUAUUUCUAUCUUAAAAUUGUAUAAUUCUAUAUCCAUUUCUAUUAGAGUGUAGUCUUUUUUUUUUAAUUCUUCUACAGUCAAUAAAUCUCUUAAUUCUAAAUACAUUGUUAUCUUUUUACUGUCACUACAUGUACAAUUUUCUCCUUUAUCACAUUCUAGUGAUUUUUUGGAUUUUAUUUAAUUAUUUGUGCUUUCUUCUUCUGAUUUAUCCUUAGGAAAACUAUAUUUAGUUAGUUUAGGUCAUGUCUGUACCAGUGAGUGAGUAAUAUUACUCGCGGAGAUUAUUCAAUCUCUAGUAACAAAACAUCCUCCAUUAUUUUGUACCCUAAAAUCUAAUCCUAACACAAAGUCUGCCUUUAUGUUUAAGUCUCUGACCAGUAUUGCAUUAAGUUUAAAUGAUGGCUGAUAGAAUUUUUCUCAGGUGUUGAUAAAACCUACCUUUGCUCUUGGUAUAUACUUUGUAUAGGUGUUAUAAGUUUCAUCCAUUUGCAUGGAGUCUUGUGGCUUUGGUAAUUCUUUAAUUAGUCAUGGUGGCAAAAUUCUGUUUUUUGAUAUACUUCUUGUACAUACUGAAUCUACUAUGACUAAUGUUUCAAACUCAUAAUCUUGAAUCCUUAUUCUUGUUAAAACUUUGACUGUACUAAUCUUUUUAUCUCCAU